UUGUGGAACCUUGGUAUUGGGUUCUUCCACUUUUGCAUUCACUCGGCGUAGCAUGUUUGUCAAAUCUUUAGGUACAAGGUCUGGUUGGCGGAUGAAGUGGAUGAGAUGACUCAAACUCCGCGGCAGAAAGUAAGAACCAACCGCAUGAGAUUGAGGGCGUGGUGGCCAGAAUGGAAAGUCCCUCUGAGGGUUCAUUCGUGAAUGGCNNNNNNNNNNNNNNNNNNNNNNNNNNNNNNNNNNNNNNNNNNNNNNNNNNNNNNNNNNNNNNNNNNNNNNNNNNNNNNNNNNNNNNNNNNNNNNNNNNNNGUGCUCAUCAGAGCUCGGGUCCGGCCCGGAAACGGGUAAAGUCACCGUCCAAUCAUCUUCAUUGUUCACAGUCUCAGGCAAUGGAAGAAAAGCCGAUGAACUUGGAGCUACAGUGCUUAUGACAUCAGAGGUUAGGUCCGGCAAGGCAGCGAAUGAAGUCACUAUACAAUCAUCUUCAUCGUUCGGAGUCGCACGCAGAUGCGGACCCCCUUCAAGGUAGCGUUGCCUGUUGCUUGAUUUCGCCGGUCUUUUACCCUUCCACGCAGUGAGGGCUUUUGAUCUCACUUGGCUAUCGACGUUUUUACAGCCCUGAAUCCCAUAUCCUGCAACUCCAGCAAGGUGCGCCCUGAUCCUCGUCGUGUCUCCACUAUACUCAUACCCACAGAAAUUACAAACCCACCUCUGGUUGGGAAGGAUGUCUACAUGCAUGCGAAAAGAGUCCUCCUCUCUGGACAUUUCCCCUGCAUCCCACAGAAGAGUAAAAACAGAUGUUUCAAGGAAGACCUUGGAUCCUAUCAGGAGUUUCAAUCAAUCCGUUCUUUUUUUAGAUUUAUCGGAGAAGUUUGCAGGAUACUUCUUCGGAAGGAAAAGAGAUGAAUCUUCAUCCAAGAAGACGAAGAGGAAAGGAAAUGGCGACUCCAGCUGUCCAAAUGGCGUUAGAAGAAAGCAAAGACAUUCCUAAGAAGCGAGUAAAUAAUCGGUGGGUCUGACUUUCCACGUGAGCAAUGGACAGUCCACUCAUUUCGUGCCACGUGGAUCGACGACCCGGCCAGUCAGAAUUUUUGAAACUCCCCCUCGUGCCUCUCUCUCUCCGAUACUUCUCCGUUGGCUCGUCAUGUUGUCUCUGCGCGCGCUCUGUCUCUCUCUGCUUCUUCGUUCCCGACUUCUCCUCCUUCCCUCCAACGAGCUCGUCUUCAACCUUCCGUGCACUUCGCUCCCGACCACGCCUCCGCCUCCGCCUCCGCCUCCUCCUCCACCUCCGCCGUCACCUCCCGGAGCCCCAUUGGUGGCUCCGAUUCGACGUCCGCGUCCGACGAGCUCAGGUUAGGCUUUUUGCCUUGCUCUGCUCUCUCCCUCUGCUCCCUCCCUCUUCACCACCGAAAGCUCCCUCUUUUCACUUUGAAUCCAGAUCCUCGUCUCUCCUAAAUCUUCUGCGCGCUUCCCUCCCAUUACUGCGGAGGCUCUUUCCAUUCGCUCUCUACUCUGACGCCGCCUCCACCUCCGUCGACGAGUCCCAUUGGCGGCUCCGAUUUGUCCUUUGCGUCCGACGAGUAGCAAAUAUAUUCCAUUGAGCUAGAAGUAGUUGCGGGUUGUGGGGUUCUCCAAUCGGGGACGGGAAGCGGGUCGCUCGCGAAAACUGUGGCUCCUACCGGCCGUGGGUAUACAUUUGAUUUCCAUGAGCAAAGAGCUGCAUCUAAACUGAGGCUUCCCACCGGUUAUGUCUUGGCAUGUUCAACAAUUCACGGGAUAUUGUGGUCCAGAUGAUGCAACUUUGUUUUGAAGAUUUUAGCUUGUGCUUAUUCCAACAUAGGAUAGACACAUAUGGGUGGUAUGUAUGUGUGUUCUCGUGUUGUCUUCUCUGAAGCUGAGUUAAGGCUUCAGCUUAGCCUGAAUGAGAGAGUAAUUGUAACAGUUUUUAAUGAUGGAGGACCACUAAACCACUGGGUUUUACUGCAGCUGAACGGCUGCUCACUGAUUUUGCAUAAGUAUGUUCCUAACUUAAACAAAUAUAAUGAUCUUGGGGAGAUUUUUAUGGACGCUCAUUCUCAGAUGACGUUAUAGAGAGAAUUCGUGCUACGUUGUGAGAAAUUGAGAAUGUCCAAAUCGGGGGCAUAAGAACUUUUCUGGGGUGGUCAGUGUAGAUUCUCAAGUUUUUGAGAUGAAACUUUCCCACUGUGUUGGUCCUAAGGCUAUGCAUAUUUCGAUGUCCUUCCUCUGCAUGAAAAUUUCAAAAUGAAGUAAACUCUAAAUCUGCUUUUUUCGGUUGGCUCAGCUUGUCCCAGCACUUGGAAUCCGUCUAUCUUCCUAGUAUAAGUGCACUCCUCCUUAGUCUCCGCUGCUCAAAAUAAGGAUUAGUUUGAUAUCAGCAGGCCUAUACAUCUAGGGAAAAUUUUCAUCAAGCAGAUUAAUUUGAUCUGUCCAACUGCUCCCAUCCGUACCAUGGCUUUGUUAGGCGGAUUUCCUUGUACUGCGUGUAAGAUGAUUCAUCUAUUCCUAUCUUUUCAUUUUUCCAAUACGAUCAAUUCAUGCAUAUUGGAAUUUAAAAUUAUGUUUUGAUGCAUGCUCCCAGGGUUUGAUGUUGGAGAGAUUUCAGAAGAUGGUCCAGAAGACUGGGAAGGCUUAUAUGCUUGGCAGUGCAUGUUGCCAAUCUUUUGUCAACAGAACCGGCUGAUGAUAAUUAAGACCAGGGGAAAAUUUUCUAGAAGAAGCAUUUCUUUAGCAUGUGCAGUCUUUAACUUUUUCUAUUCUGAAUUACCUUCUGGAACUAAUUUCCAGACUCUGGUUGUCAAUUUAGCAGAAAGUUGGGAUAAAAACUUCACAUUUUCACAACUUUUGAAGUAGGAAAGAUUACUGAUAGAUUGUCCUUAUACCCAAGGCAAUCACAGCAGUUUGCAACACCACUCGUCUUUUUGGCUGAUAGUAUGCUUAAUUGUAUGUGCCAUGUGCUUCUCUGAUAUUUACUAGUAAAAAAAUUGCUGAUCAAUCAACAAUUCCAUCUCGAAUAACAUUUUGUGAUUUAGCAACUGCUUGUCAUGUUUUUGCAGGGAAAGUUGGCAUCGGAGGCUUCAGUACGGGUGCUGCCACAGCUCUUUACUCAGCAACUUGUUUUGCCCUGGGUAAAUACGCAAUUGGAAGUCCAUACCCCUAUCAACUUAAGGGCAGUUAUCGGUUUGAGUGGUUGGUUUCCAGGCUCAAGGUAAUUAUUCAAACCAUUUUAUAUUUUUCACGUAAACAGUCAGUCCACACUCUUUUUCUCCAUAAGUUCUGUUUAGAAAAGAAAUAAAAAGAAGAAUUUGGGAGCAAUCGCAUCAAGUGGUCUCUUUUGGUUUACGAGACUCUGCGUCUAUUGUUGUGAAAAGGAUGUCACGAAGUCGCUAGCAGCCACUGUAUAGUUCACACCAAACCACCUUUUCAGGAGAGAAUCAGUCUGUGGUGAAACCAAGUCUCCUAAGCGCUUCAUCAUUGACGCCAUCAGGAAUGAUUUCCACCAAAAUUUUUUGCAGAGAUACAUGAAGUAGUUGUUUAAAGCUAAGAAGCUUCUAGAAAAGGUAUGUAUCUUAUUUGUGAGAACUUGCAAAUUGCUUGUAUUUGGAUUAUCUUGUGCAAGCAGCAAUGUGAAGUCUAAUUCUCAGAUAUUAAUUUUCCUUUCCACCGCACUUCUUAAUCCUGGACUUUGAAGAGGGAGGGAGCAGAGGUCGUGAAUGAAGAGAAGAGGGGUGGUUAAGGGGGAUGGAGAGAGAGAGCAGAGCAAGUCCUGAGCUCGUUGGACGCAGACAUCGAAUUGGAGCUGCCAAUGGGGCUCCAGGAGGCGACGGCGGAGGUGGAGGUAGAGGCGUGGUCGGGAGUGAAGCGCAUGGGAAGUUGAAGCCGAGCUUGUUGGAGGAAAGGAGGAGAAGUUGGGAAACGAAGAGGGCGAGGGAAAGAGAGAAAUGUACUACCUUUUUUGUUAUGAAACCAUAAUCGUAAUUAGAGGAAAAUUUCUACUUCAGUUCACAGAUUCCAAUCUUAGACUUCUUAAUUGGUUCAAUGCACUAUUUAUCUCAUAUGUGAAAUUUAAUAUGGUCAUUUAGGUCAAUUAUUGUCUGAAAUUACUGAGUGAUCAUCCAGUCAUCUUGAUAAUCUUUUGUAACAUGGUGGGUGACCUAACGUGGACAGACUCAAUAAAAAGACAUCAUUUUUUGUUUCAUCAAAUCUAACAAAAAAACAAAGCAGAAGCCAUCAAACCCUCAAAAUUCAAUUCCCUCAGUUUGCUAGAAACCCCAAAAUUGACCUGUAACCCUAAUUCACGAAAAGAAUCCCCAAUUUCCACUUUACCAUAUUAAAAUCCAUGAAGAGAUAAGCGAAUUUGUUGCAAUCAGUGAUUGUGGUUCCUCUGAUCAAGAAUGAUACCUCAAUGUUUUGCUCUUGUGACUCGAAAUCUCCUUUGCAAACAGCAAGACCAAAGGAGUACGGGGAAAGAAGAUUUCAUAACUGCCCAAGAUAUCAAUUUGGAGGAAGUUAUAGUUUUUUUAGUUAGGUUGACACAUAAAUCAGUCAACUGAUGAGUGAGUUAAAAUUUUUUCAAUGGAGCAAUAUUGAUGAAGAAACAAAAUCAACCCAUCAUGAGGAUUAUGGCAACUCAAUGGAAGCCAAGGCCAAAGCUCUUAAUGUAAGAUCUUUUAUUUUAUUUUUUUAAUGUGGGCUACAUUAAUUGAUAUUGUAAUUUGCCGUUUACAAAAAUUAGUCUAUUAACGUGAAACAUAAAAAUUCUUAAUUAGUCUAACAUGGAACUAGCUAUUAUGGAAUGAGUAAAGCUCGGCCUCUAAUGAAAGGUUUGUAGCUUAAAACUAUAUAGAUAGAGCCCAAGUUUCUUAUCUAAUCUUGAUGCACAAAUAACCUCACAUAUUGAGUGUUUACUGAAUGAUAAAGGUGAGAGGCAGUCCCACAUAACUAGCUACCAAUCUUAACUCGGAAAACCGAGGACAAAUAUCUUACCUCUCUCGAUGUUUUGAGAGUUUUUCCCUACCCAUGGUGGUAGAAACCCUAACUCUCAUGGAGUUUCCCCUUUUACCAAACAUCUCGUUUCUUGCGAACGAAUCACUGAUCCACUAAGCAAUCCCCAAGAACCCUCAUUACCGCCUUUAAUUCGCAGAAUGUGAAGAGCGGAGCAAUGGAACAGGACCGCCACCCACUAGCAGGGUUUUUCAAUAAAGUCUUGGUGACCUGCAGUUUUGGCUGAUUUCAAGGUGGGAUGUCACUAUUCCUUUCUCUGGUAGUCUUCCGAUCUGGCUGAAUCUUCGGUAGUGGAAUGGGCGUGGUCGGAGCCUCGUAGAUUGAAGUUCGGCUUUUCUGAGCGACGGUAUGUUGCCAUUUUUCUUCAUGGAGGUUUUCCGAUUUGGUAAGUUCCUCUGUAGUGGGAUGGGUGUCGGCUGGAACCUGUAGAAUGGAGAUCACCCCGUUUUAUCCGGCUUGGGGGUCUUGUUUCUGACGGAGUGUUGCACUGUAUCGUUGUUUUUUCCUUGCUGAGAAUGGAGAUCACCACUGUUUUGAUCGGUCUUGGGGCUCUGUUUUUCACGAAGUGUUUGUACUGAACCCCUGUUCUUCACUUGCUGAGAUAAUAGGUGGAAUUGAGGGUGAAACACCACAACUCGUUGUCAAUCUUGCAAUUCCAACCACAGAGCUCCCUUCAAUCCGUCAUAAUUUCCUAUAGUAAAUUAAUCCCAGUCAAAAUCAGCACCUGCAGACCUGGAAAAUGGAAGGGGCAGAAGAGAAUGAAUUGCGUCUAGCAGCUUUAUGUAAAAGCCUGGGACAUUUGUGGUCGGAGAAUGAUAUAGUGGAAGUGAUUAAAGAUAUUCCCCUGAAAAAAGAGCAGAAUGUAAUCGAACCCUCUUCGGAAAACUCUUUUCCAAACCUAAUGUCAACUUCCCAGCGUUAUGUCAAACUAUGAAGAAAGCAUGGAGAGUAGACUCUGUGAUAUGCACACAAAAGGAACUAGGUUUGUUCUCUUUCCUUUUUCAGUCGGAGGAGGAAAAAGAGAGAGUAUUGAAGUUAGGGCCAUGGUCCUUCAACAACAACCUAUUAGUUCUCAAACAAUGUGUACCUGACAUCCCAGAGCACUGUUAUGACUAUACUUGUUGUGCUUUUUGGGUGCGCAUUGGAGGGAUUCCCCCUGGAUGGCUAUUAAAAGAUGUCUUUAACGAUCUAGCAAAAAAGGUGGGCAAAGUUCUGGAGAUUCAAGUGGACCCAAAGGGCAGUGGACUACAGAAAAGUGGAAGAGUACGUGUGGAAGUGGACCUAUCAGCUCCUCUAAAAUCAGGAGCCAUCCUGGAUAUCGGAAACAAAAAGCUCUGGGUGGAAUUCAAAUAUGAAAGACUGCCCCACUAUUGCUAUUCGUGUGGAAAAAUUGGCCACUAUGCUACAAACUGUGAAGAAAUCCCAUAUGAACAAACUACCUAGGCUAAAAACAAAGUGGGGAAAUAUGGUCCAUGGCUUAAGGCGGAAGUGCAAGAUCAUAGCCCCUACUGGAACACAUUCUAUGGAAAAUUAGAAGAGGAGUUCAUUGUGGAAGAAACGGCACUUGAAGUCCCACCUAUAACUUAUGAACUGAACCAAGUGGCUGGAGAUACAACUGAAAACACAGCAGCUCCAACUCGCAACAAGAAGAGAGCAGAAAACUAUGAAGUGGGGGAACCACCAGAAAAAUCAGCAGACGCAACACUGAAAACUACAGAUCACGGCAAAUAGAUUGUAUGUUUCGAAGCAAACAAGCCGAUCCUAUCCAGGGUGGGGAAAAGCAGCAAAAAAAGCAUGAAAGUGCAGAAGGAAAAAAAACAUAAAUGUAUAGCAGAACAAUGCCCUUUUAUGAUUGAUGAUACGGAACUCUUGGAGACCCCAAUCCAGUUGAUUAAAGAUGGAAAUGAAUGGGCUGUGGUGGCUAGCCCUAAUAAGCCAUCGACGACGACAUGAAAAUCAUAAGCUGGAAUUGUCAGGGGCUGGGCAAUCCCCUGACAUUCCAGGAGCUAAGAGCCCUUGUGGCUCUUGAAAGGCCCAACCUGGUCUUUUUAAUGGAAACAAAGAACAAAGCAACGAUGGUGGAGGGUAUAAAAAGGAGAUUGAAUUUCCAAAAUCUGUUCUUAGAAGAUCCGGAAGGAAUUGCUGGAGGCUUAGCGGUAUUAUGGAGCGAAGAAGUGGUGUUAAAGGUAAAUGACAGCUCCAAAGAGUAUAUUGAUGUGGAUUGCAGAGAUCCAGCUAGUGGCUAUCAAAUGAGGAUAACCUUCCUUCAUGCUCCGACGCACUUUGGGGAGAGACUACAACUAUGGCAAAAGUUAAAGGAGGCUCAGUCUUCAAAUUUUCUACCGUGGAUAUGCAUGGGAGACUUUAAUGAAAUUUUAUACGUUUGGGAGAAAGUGGGGAAAAGAGAGGCGGAUAACCAUAGAAUUGCAGCAUUUCGAGAUCUAUUAAAUGAGUGUUCCCUAAUGGAUAUGGACAGCAAAGGGUGUGCCUACACUUGGUCCAAUAACAGAGAGGGAGAGGCCCAUGUCAAAAAACGUUUAGAUAGAGUCUUAUGUACAAUGGAAUGGAGAAUUACCUUCCCUGCUGCUGAAGUACAGGCGCUACUAGCAAUCGGCUCAGACCAUAGCCCUCUCCUCUUGGUGUUGCAUCCUGAAAAUAAGAGAAAAAAGAGAGAUUUCAGAUUUGAAGCCUACUGGUUAGAAGAUCCAGACUAUGAAGAGAUCAUACAGAGAACAUGGAACAAAACGCCACUAAGCCAGACAAGUUUCUCAAAGAAGGUACACAAUAUCUCUAAGGAGCUUGCCAAGUGGAGUAAGGAAAAAUUCGCCAACGCGCCACGUCGUAGCAAGGAGCUUAAUAGAGAACUAACAGAGAUAACAAACAAGAACUCUGUAAAUUCCAGCAAGCAUGAAGCACAACAUGUUAUUGAUGAGAUAGAAAAACAUUGGCAACAAGAGGAAAAAUAUUGGGGAAUGAGAGCACGCAUCAACUGGCUGCUAUGGGGAGAUAAAAAUACGAAGUUCUUCCAUGCUACCACGGUACAAAGAAGACAAAAAAACAGAAUUAUAAUCAGUGUGUUAUGUGUGAUAUAUAUCCCAGUCUUCCAGCUAUUAUUUUUCUGGGGAGUUAUUUAUUCACGUUUUCGCAUGUACAUGACAACAAUAUAAAAAGAAUUGGAAUGGCGACUAGUCUAGGACGUCGCGAAAAUAACUCUUAUUACUCAUAAUUCUGGAAAUGGAGUUAGGGUCAUGACAAUUUUUGUCUCAAUCAAAAGUUUAAACAUUAAAGUAAGGAGCCAAAGAAGCAUGUUAAUGGCUCAUUUCAACGCCAAAUAUAGAAUGUUUUACAUCAUCAUUAACACAAAGCAUAAAACUUGCAUUGGCAGUGUAUUAUUAAAGUCCCAAAAAAGCCCUAAAAAGUUCAAUAUAGCGCCACCUGACUUCCAACUCAACAAUCUUCUUUAAAAGAAGAGAUUUCUUUAACAAAUAAGGGUGCACAUGACAAAAUUUCUGUUUCUCAAUUUCUUUAUUUUUAUGUUUCCCAAAACAAGUUUAGAAUAGAAAUUCGUUUGGUAAUACAAUUUCAUUUUUCUAUUUCUGGAACAGGUUUUUAUCCAAAAAUAGAUUUUGAGCAGAAAUCAGAAAUUAAAUUUUUAGCUUUUUGGAACAAAAGUGAGAAACGAAAACUUUUCUCAUCGUUCACUUUCGUCAUUGCCCGUCACCGGACGCCGGAUGCUACACGCCACACGCCCCCAUGUCGGACGCUAGAUGCCGGCUGCCGUCCCCCUAGAAAUAGAAAUUUUAUUUUGUUAUCAAACAAAUUUCUGUUCUAGAAACAAAAAUUUUGUAUGACAUUCUGAAACAUCAUCCGACACGUGUUUUUUAUAUUAUUACUCUCUUUUAACUUGCGGAAGCAUAAUCAAAUAUUUACGAAUAUUCUUUUAACAAUUAAAGAAUUACAAUUAUAACCAGUAUACUUAAGUGUAUUUUAUUUAUACCACAUUUGAGUUCACAUCUUCAUUACAUUACGAGUAACAAACAUUAGUCUGGGUAGUGUAGGGAGACCUAUCUCUAGACUAUAUUGUACUUCCAAAAAUCUGUCUAUAAAAACGGGUAGACUGAAAUCACAGGUUGAUAACUUCUCCAUCUGUUGCAUUUUCAUCGUCCAAAUCGAAGCCACACAACGGACCGAUUAACUCACUGUAAAGAUUCCGGUACUAAGUAACGAACCGAAAAGGAACUCACUCCAUGAAACCUCCUACAUCAACCCAUAUUGUAGAACUACAUUUGGUAUAUAUUAUUCCAAACUCUGGUUCAAGUACACUUUCAUAAAAAGCUUCAUUAUACAUAGGGACUCCAUAGCGCAAGGGUUGAGGAGUGCCCAUCCUAUACGUUUGAAAAAUAAAAGGGAUGAGCCAAAGCUUAGUAAAUGAAAUCUCUAAUUUUAUGGUAAAAAAAUCCUCUUGCCACUUCACUUGGAAUAUAAAAAAUAAAUGCAUAAACAUCCAGUAAGUGUGAUAAAACAUAAGUAGACUUUACUUUUCCCAUUUUCAUUUAUCACAGAAAUCGACAACCAACAAAACGUCCAUUUAGACUCAUAAAUAUACAUGCCAUGUUUCACAUAAAUAAACAAUUUAAGUAAUAUUUAGUUCUACACAUGGCAAUGCAUUUUAUUCAUUAAUGUUUCCUCUUCCCGAACACUCCUGAGGCAUCUCGACUCACAGGACAUCCCAAUCACUGGGGAAUCUCAACUUUGAGGUAUUAUGCAAACUUCCACUACAGGGUAUCCUACUAUAGGGGCAUCUCAACUCCCGGGGCAUCUCGACUCCCGAGGCAUCUUGAAAUACUCCCCGGGGCAUCCCAACCACUAGAGUAUCUCGCAAACUUCCACCAUAGGGCAUCAUCACUUACCGCUAUAUGGGUGAUGAAAUUACAUUAAUGUCAUUCAAGCCAUGUAGAGGUAUAACACACAUAUCUCAACUUGGUUUAAUGCAUUAGUCAAAUAACUACAUAUGAAGUAAGAUACAAUCAUAUUCUGAUCGUUAAAGUCUAGACAUUCAAAUGAAUAUAUUCUGAGUCUGAACAUUGAGCAGGUAAUGGACAUUAAAACCUGGUAAAUCAAAUGAGUAUAUUUCUUAAGCCUGAACAUUGAGCAAAUUCUGAACAUUAAAAUUUGGUAAAUCAAACGGGUAUAUUUAGAGUCCGAACAUUGAGCAGAUUUUGGACAUUAAAAUCUAGUAAAUCAAAUGGGUAAAUUCUAAGUUUGGACAAACAAAUACAUUGUAAUCGUAAAGUUUGAACUAUCGAAAUAGUAAAUUUUGACUUGAUAAAAGCUAAUAGAAUAAAAGAACAGAUCCAACGAUAAAUAGAUUUACAAAUGGACAGAUUGAGCAAUGGAUAGGAUCAACAAAUGAACGGAUUCAACAAGGAGUAGAUUCAUAUUCAGUAAAAUCUGUCUGAACCGAUAAAUAGACUUAUCACCGAACAGAUUCGCAAGUUGGCAAAUUCGGCAAAUGAACAAACUCUCCAAUGAACAGAUUCAAGCAAUUCACAAAUGGACAUAUUUAUCACAGGAAAUUCCAGUAGAAACAAGUGAAGCAAACAAAUUCUGACUAGUAGAAUUCUAACAAAACAAACAUGCAACGGGUUAUUAAGAUAAAUAUAACAGAAUGACCAGAUUCUAAUUAUUCAGAUUGAGGCAAAAAUAGGCAAAACGAAUAUACAAUGGUUUAUCAAAAUAAAUAUAGCAGAAUGACUAGAUUCUAACUACUUAGAAUGAGACAAAAUGAACAUGUAAUGAGUUAUCAAGCUAAAUAUUGUAGAAUGAUCAUGUUUUGACUACCAAGAACCACAUAGAAACACACAGGACGAACUGGGAUAAAUCAAAGCGAAGCAGGAAUAAACUUGCAAGAAAUUGUCAAGGUCACGUAAUAACCAUCAUACUCACAUCAAGACUUCACAUCUCACUCAAUCAACCAAGUUAGAAGUAACUAAGUAGAUUUAAGCUAACUUAACACUAGAAAUUUCACUUACCUCGACACAACCACAAAUCUCAAGCUACCAAUUUCCUUUUCUACCUUAAUUACUCUUGAAUAUGAAGUCUGCUCUCCAAAUUCUUGGAUUGAAAAGCGGAAUUAACACAUACAGCUUCUGUUUGAGUUUCUGGAGGAACGAAAAUGAGUUUUUUUGGCAAGAUAGAAUGAGUUUUGUUAAAUUAAUUAAGAUAAUUUGAUUUCUUGCAAUGUUAGGUGUAAAUUUACAUGUUAAUCUUCAAUUUAAUGUGGCACAAAUGCAAGACAAGGCCCUUGCAUGUGGCAAGGGAAAUUAAAGAAGAAAAUGAGUCAUUUGAAAUAAUCAUCACUUAAUUUAGGUGUAAAAGAAAUUACAUGGUCAUGCAAAGCUUCGUACGAGGACAUAUGGCAAUUCUAAUUUUACUUAAUAAAUUUGUAAGGGAAAAUGUAAAAAGCAGAACGUAAUCUUCUUCUUCUAGCACUAUUAACACAAAUUAUUCACUAUUAUUAUCAAUUAAUUAAAACUUACACAAUUAAUAACAACAAUGAACUAGUUAGACAAUAGUAAUUUAAUUAAUACCAUUUUAUUAUUAGCACCCACAUAAUAUGAUUCACACGUCGAACCCGAAACGAUUUACGCUUACGAAAAUUACCCGCCGCGUCCCAUGAAAUUUAUGUUUCGAUUAAAUUUUCCGCAUGUUUGUUCGAAUACUAAGUCAAAUAAUACUUAACUUAAAAUUUAAGUAUUAUUAUCACAUACGGGAAUUUUUUAAUAUUACAUAAUUUCAAAUACAGAAAUCCCAGAUGUAACAUUUUGAAUAGUUGUCAAACGCGUUUCUUUGCUCAGAAACUUGUUAAAGGAACAGAAAUUCAUAAAUCAAUAUUUUGCUCUAGAAAUUUUUUCAUGCUGGCCUAAAUUGCCAGAGGUGUCAAAAUGGGUCUUAAAUUCAUAUAUGACACAUUUAAAUCAUAAAUUGGUCAUAUAUGGUUCACAUACAUGUUGAAGAGAUUAAUUUAAUGGGUGUUAAAUGGGUUGGACUUAAAAACCCAUUUCCAACCCAAACCUCACACUCUCUCUUCCCCCCAAUAAAUUUAUAACAAGUUUUUUGUUGAUAAAAAUUGAAAUUAGAAUUAUUUUUUAUAUUUAUUUUUUCUUUCCUUUUUUCUUUUUCUUUCUUCUUCCUCCUUCCUUAGCGUGUGGCCGGCACGGCGACCGGCCAAGCAAGGCUCCAGCUUGUUGGCCCCUGAGGUCACCGACAACUGGCAAGGCUCGAGCUCGCCCAUUUCUUUCUUUCUUUCUUUCUUUCUUCUUCUUCCUUCCUCAGUUGAUGGUGGGUGACUGACCAAGCGAGGCUCGAGCUCGCCGGCCCCUAAGGUCUCUUACGACUGGCAAGGCUUGAGCUGACUGGAUCUGGCAAGACUCGAGCCCCUCGGUGUUGAGUGAGCUCAAUCUCACUGAUUUGGCAAGGCCGAGGCCUCGCUAAUGAUGGGCAAGGCUUGAGCCUCGUCGAUCUGGCGAAACUUGAGCCUGCUGUUGACUGCGAGGUGGAGGCCUCGUCGACGUCUGGCAAGACUCGAGCCUCGACGAUCUGGCGAGACCCAUGUUAGGUGAGUUUGAUCUCGUCAACGAUUGGCAAGGCUAAAGCUUGCUGGCGUUAGGAGAGCUCGAGCUCGCCUAUGGCCGGUAGCUGGCCGUCAUAGUAGCCGACGGCCAGUCAAAGAAGAAGAAAAAGAAAAAGGAAAAAACAAUUAAAAAUGAUAUUUUAAAAAUAAUUAAAAAUUUGAUUUAAAAAAAAUAAAAAAUAAUUAAAAUUUUGACUUUUUAAAAUAAUUUUUUAGAAAUAUUAUAAAAAUUGUCCAUUAAAUUUAUAUUGUAUUAAAGUGUUUUAGCAUACUUUUUUUUUUUUUUUGUAAAUAUCAUAAGAAAUAAGUUUUCUUAGUUUUAGUUAAAGAUUUUUCGCAUUUUUUAUUUUAUUUACUAUUUUUAUUGUUUAAUUUACUUUUUCAAUUUGAUGUGAAAUUUUUAUUCAAGUAACAUAUAUGUGAAGAACUUAAAGUGAAUUAAAUGGGUGGGAGUGGAUUAACCUAAAUUGAUUUAAAUAUCAAUGUGUUUCGAUAAUAUGGGUUGAGUCGAGUAAGGAUUGUAUAUUGGUUGGGUUAAGUAUGGGUCAUCAAAUUUACCUUGCAUGAAAAAUGAAUCAAAAUGGGUUAAAUGAGUCAAUAUGGGUCGGACCAUUUUCGACUUGACUUGCCCAUUUGACAGCCUUUUACCAUUGUAUAGAUUCAAAUUAUGCAUGGAUCAAUCUUGAGGAAAAGAAGAUUAAAGAACUGGAUAAAGCUGUCAUGAGCACUUACCGGUGGCAUGAUAUCCCAGGGAAGAUUUGUCUUCAGGAAGGCAUUUGCUAAUGCCCAUAUCAGAUAGCUGAGCACAAAAUGGUCGAUUCUUAGUAAUCAAGACAUUUUGAGGCUUUAAGUCCCGAUGGAUUAUUCUCAAGUCAUGCAAAUGGCUGAGUCCUGAUACCACAUUUCUGUAUCAUAAUAUAGAGAAGCCAUCAUGACUUAAAUCAACAAUGUAUUUGGAACCAAGUAGCAUCCGGGCCACUUGAAGGCAUCAUAUACAUAUACUAAGCCAUAUCUUAUUCAAAAAUAAUGAAUUUCUUUAACACACUAAGACCCAAUAAGGAUGUCAAAAGUACACUGGAGAUAAAACUGUUACAGGUUCUUUACAUAAACUCUACAAUGAAAAACUUGGUAUAGAAUAUGAUCGCCGUAUCAAUCACAUGAACAUUUACCGAUUUGAGUGCGUGAGGAUCCUACCGCAUUCGCAAAUCAAAAGGAAAGAAGGCAUACUGUUUUUACCAAGAUGGGAAAAUCAAUGGAAUUAUUACUAGGUAAUUGAUGAUACCUAAUUGAUUUCCAUGGAAAGAAAACUGAGAAUUUAGCCUUGAUGGUGAGAUUGAACUUAACGGACUCUAGAAAGGAAGCUGCAAGGUUCAAAACUUAGCCCACGAUGGUGAUUGCAUUGGGCUCACCACAGUCAAGGUAGUGACCUAAUAAUUGCCCCUAUCAUGCAUCACUUGGAAGUUUUUGCGGGAGCGCUAUUAAGUCCUUCAACUAGCACCUAAUACCAACAUAAGCUAGCAAAAAAGAGUACAUGAAGCUAGUGAUCUCUUGAGAUGCUUCUGAGUCAUGUAAAACAUAUGUAAGCAAGCUCACUACAAAUACAAAUAUGUGACAGUUGAUUUUAGGAGUGCCGCAAUAAGAUACUGCAGUUAUCUUUCUAUUCAUACCCUUUUGGCAAAUCAAAACAUAAAAAUUACCUCAUCAGCUUCUGUAACAAAGGUGAGGGAUGACCAUCUGCCCGCCACAAGUCAACAUCUUGCAUCAUAUCCCUAACAGAAUCCAAUUUGAUUUUAUGGUCAUCCGUUGAUGCUGGAUCACCACGGAACGCAGAGUUAUUUGAAGAAUCUGAAUGUGCUUGAAUUAAAUCAUAUAAGCUACAAGCACAGCGCUCCAGAGCAAGAUACACGAAAUCCGAGUUGGACUCCACUCCAUGAUACCGAACGAUAUUUUUAUGUUGGUCAGAUGCCAACAAAAUCUGAAUCUCGUUGGAAGCAACAUCACAAUGGGCCCGAACAAGGCGUUUCACUGCAACAGGUCUACCUUCAUAGAUGCCCUCAAGGACAAUGGUCCCAUUACUUCCUUUAGCUAUUUCUUUUCUUGAUACGUGGAUUUUACCAAUUUUACGCCAUUCAGUGCCACCAUUAGAAAGGCUAUCCUUUCUGCCAAAACUUCCAUAUUUGAUUUUCUUCUUGUGAUCUCUUGAUAAAGUGCCUACAUAUACAUCGAAAAACAAAACCAUCAGACUUUAUAUGAAACAGAUUAAAAUGAACAAUACCUCAAGUGAAUUAAUCAAGGGACAAUGUGGUAUCAAAGCAACAACCCCUCUAGUAGCUGUGUGAUUUGAGGAUGAACUAUUCGGAAACUGGCAGGCCUAUAACGACCCAGUUCGACAAGGGUAGGGAGUAAUUGUCGGGAUGAGAAACAACUUAAUAUGGGGUGGGUCAAAGCAAGAAUACUUUGAGUGAAUUAAUUCAGGGUAUCACCCCUAAGAUAAACAUGGAUGAAAUUUGAAAUGACGUCCACAACAUUGGUACAUGAGAUUGAAUUUAAAUUGAUGCUUUUAUGUGUACUGAUGUAACUGUCCAUCUCCAAAGUCAGCCCACCGAGAAAGAAAGUUCACUAAUCAAGUGAACUCAUGUGCAAGCAGCAAUUUGUGCAAGUUUAUUGUUUGCCUCAAUCUUUGCAUGUGAUAGGUUGCAUUUGGAUUGAAUUGACAAGUUAUAGUACUUUGAUUUAAAGCUUUAUAUAACAAUAAUAGCAUUCACUUUAAUUUCCGUGAACGCAAGGGUAUACGCCUAUGUCCAGUCUCCAAAAAUUUAGGUGUGAGUUCUAGCUUCUGUGUUUCACAUGACUCUUUUCAUUUGUGAUAUGAUGGAAUAGAGAGAGCUAUGGCUUUUCUAGAUUUGAAUGUCACACUUAAAAAGCAUUUGUUUGUUCCUACUUUUCAAAGAACUAUUAGUUAUCAUUCACCGAUUCCUAAACUGCUCUCUUCCUAUUAAUUCCUGCCUAUUUUGUGUUGUUAGUUACUAUAGGAAAUCUAAGCGUCCUACCUAUAUGCCUACUCUCAAAGUAAGAAUUAGAAGACAAAUGAAGCGUGCUGCCUGAGCUUUAACAUAUGAGGAAUUUGGAGAGGCACAUUACCUUGUGGAACCUUGGUAUUGGGUUCUUCCACUUUUGCAUUCGCUAGGCGUAGCAUGUUAGUCAAAUCUUUAGAUACAAGGUCUGGUUGGCGGAUGACGCGGAUGAGAUGACUCAAACUCCGCGGCAGAAGGUAAGAAUCAACCGCAUGAGAUUGAGGGCGUCGUGGCCAGAAUGAAAAGUCCCUCUGAGGGUUCAUGUUUUGAGGAGGAAGAGACUGAUUGGGCAAAUUUGUCUUUGGCAAUGGAAGAAAGGCUGAUGAACUUGCAUUUACAGUGCUCAUGACACCAGAGCUCGGGUCCGGCCGGGCAACGGGUAAAGUCACCGUCCAAUCAUCUUCAUUGUUCACAGUCUCAGGCAAUGGAAGAAAAGCCGAUGAACUUGGAGCUACAGUGCUUAUGACAUCAGAGGUUAGGUCCGGCAAGGCAGCGAAUGAAGUCACUAUACAAUCAUCUUCAUCGUUCGGAGUCGCACGCAGAUGCGGACCCCCUUCAAGGUAGCGUUGCCUGUUGCUUGAUUUCGCCGGUCUUUUACCCUUCCACGCAGUGAGGGCUUUUGAUCUCACUUGGCUAUCGACGUUUUCACAGCCCUGAAUCCCAUAUCCUGCAACUCCAGCAAGGUGGGCCCUGAUCCUCGUCGUGUCUCCGCUAUACUCAUACCCACAGAAAUUACAAACCCACUUCUCGUUGGAAAGGAUGCGUGCAUGCAUGCGAAAGGAGUCCUCCUCUCUGUACAUUUCCCCUGUAUCCCACAGAAGAGUAAACAGAUGUUUCGGAAGACCUUGGAUCCUAUCAGGAGUUUCAAUCAAUCCGUUCUUUUUUUUCACUUAUCGGACAAGUUUACAGGAUACUUCUUCGGAAAGAAAAGAGAUGAAUCUUCAUCCAAGAAGACGAAGACUUAACAUGGACCAGAAAGAGAAAAGGAAAGGAAAUGGUGGGGGUUUUGGAUGACUUUAGAAAAAGAGAAUACUUUCGGCGGGUCUGACUUUCCACGUGGGCAAUGGAUAGUCCACUCAUUGUGCGCCACCUGCCUCGACGGACCCACCCUGUCAGAAUUUUUGAAACUCCCCCGCGCUCUCUCUCUCCCCGUUACUUCUCCGUUAGCUCGUCAUGUUAUCUCUGCGCGCGCUCUGCCUCUUCGUUUCCCGACUUCUCCUCCUUCCCUCCAUUGAGUUCGACUUCAACCUUCCGUGCACUUCACCCCCGACCACGCCUCCGCCUCCGCCUCCGCCUCCGCCGUCACCUCCCGGAGCCCCAUUGGUGGCUUCGAUUCGACAUCUGCAUCCGACGAGCUCAGCUUAGGCUUUUCGCCUUGCUCUGCUCUAUCUCCCUCCAUCCCUCUUCACGACUUCCCUUCAUUCACGGCCUCUGCUCCCUCUUUUCAUUUUGAAUCCAAAUCUUCGUCUCUCCUAAAUCUUCUGCGCGCUUCCCUCCCCUUACUGCGAAGGCCUCUUUCCAUUCACUCUCUACUCUGACGACGAGCCCCAUUGGCGUGGGUAUACAUUUGAUUUCCAUGAGCAAAGAGCGGCAUCUAAACUGAGGCUUCCCGCCGGUUAUGUCUUGACAUGUUCAACAAUUCACGGGAUAUUGUGGUCCAGAUGAUGCAACUGUGUUUUGAAGAUUCUAGCUUGUGCUUAUUCCAACAUAUCAUAGACAUAUAUGGGUGGUAUGUAUGUACGUAUGUUCUCGUGUUGUCUUCUCUGAAGCUGAGUUAAGGCUUCAGCUUAGCCUGAAUGAGAGAGUGUUUGUAACAGUUAUUAAUGAUGGAGGACCACUAAACCACUGGGUUUUACCGCAGCUGAACGGCUGCUCACUGAUUCUGCAUAAGUAUAUUCCUAACUUAAACAAAUAUAAUGAUCUCGGGGAGACUUUUAUGGACACUCAGUCUCAGAUGAUGUUAUAGAGAGAAUUCGCACUACAGUGCAGCUAUUUAAAUGAUUACGACAGAUGAGAAUGUCCAAAUCGGGGGUAGGAGAACUUUUCUGCGGUGGUCAGUGUAGAUUCUCAAGUUUUUGAGAUGAAACUUUCCCACUGUGCUGGUCCUAAGGCUAUGCAUAUUUCGAUGUCCUUCGUCUGCAUGAAAAUUUCAAAAUGAAGUAAACUCUAAAUCUGCUUUUUUCGGUUGGCUCAGCUUGUCUUAGCACUUGGAAUCCGUCUCUCUUCCUAGCGUAAGUGCGCUCCUCCUUAGUCUCCGCUGCUCAAAAUAAGAAUUAGUUUGAUAUCAGCAGGCUUUAUACAUCUAGGGAAAAUUUUCCUCAAGCAGAUUAAAUUGCUCUGUCCAACUGCUCCCAUCCGUACCAUGGCUUUGUUAGGCGGAUUUCCUCGUACUGCAUGUAAGAUGAUUAGUCUAUUCCUAUCUUUUCUUUCUUCCAAUAUGAUCGAUUCAUGCAUAUUGUAAUUUAAAAGUAUGUUUUGAUGCAUGCUUCCAGGUUUUGAUGUUGGAGAGAUUUUAGAAGAUAGUCCAGAUGACUGGGAACGCUUAUAUGCUUGGCAGUGCAUAUUGCCAAUCUUUUGUCAACAGAACCAGCUGAUGAUAAUUAAGACCAGGAGAAAAUUUUCUAGGAGCAUUUCUCUAAUAUGUGCGAUCUUUAACUUUUUCUAUUCUGAAUUACCUUCUGGAACUAAUUUCCAGACUCUGGUUGUCAAUUAAGCAAAAAGUUGGGAUAAGAACUUCACAUUUUCACGGCUUUUGAAGUAGGAAAGAUUACUGAUAGAUUGUCCUUAUACCCAAGGCAAUCACAGCAGUUUGCAACACCACUCGUCUUUUUGGCUGAUGGUAUGCUUAAUUGUAUGUGCCAUGUGCUUCUCUGAUAUUCACUAGUAAAAAUAUUGCUCAUCAAUCAACACUUCCAUCUCGAAUAACAUUUUGUGAUUUAGCAACUGCUUGUCAUGUUUUUGCAGUGAAAGUUGGCAUCGGAGGCUUCAGUACGGGUGCUGCCACAGCUCUUUACUCAGCAGGAGUGUGUUAAUUUUUUUUCAAGGGAGCAAUAUUGAUGAAGAAACAAAAUCAAACCCAUCAUGAGGAUUAUGGAAACUCCAUGGAAGCCAAGGCCAAAGCUCUUAAUGUAGGAUUUUUUUUUUUAAUGUGCGCCACAUUAAUUGAUAUUGUAAUUUGAUGUUUAUGGAAUUAGUCUAUUAAGGUGAAACAUAAAAAUUCUUAAUUAAUCUAACAUGGAGCUAGCUAUUGUGAAAUGAGUAAAGCCCGACCUCUGAUGAAAGGUUUGUAGCUUAAAACUUUAUAGAUAGAGCUCAAGUAUGCACAAAUAACCUCCCAUAAUGAGUGUUUAUUGAAUGAUAAAGGUGAGAGGCAAUCCCACAUAACUAGCUACCAAUCUUGGUUGGAUUCAAAGAUGGAAUGACCAAAUUAGUGAACAUGCAAUUGAAAAAUCAAAGAUGGAAUGCCCUAAUCGACUUGAUUCAACUUGAUCCAUUUUAAAUUAACAUCCAAUUUGAUCAAUUGAAUUUCAAUUUGGCCAAUGGAACCUCAAAUGUACACAUCAGUCUAGUUCAUGGUGCAAUUUUAAUAGAAAUUAGGGGAAUUUAUGGCAUUUCAUGUCGAAUUAAUCAAAUCAAGUCAAGUCAAUUCAGUCCAGUUGCAUUUAAUUUGACCCAAUUCAUUUGGGAAUUUUCAAUUUAACUUAGAUUAGAAAAAAAUUAAGAAAAAUGGGAACCAAAUCAGAGCCUAAUUGAGUCGGCCAAGGCCCAAGUCAAUUCAGUUCGAUUGGCUCAACCCAGUUCAGUUGAUUUUGAUCGGUCGAGGCCAAUUAGGCUUUGUUUGGCAACUUGCCAAAUAGUAAUAAUUUCUACUCUUUUGUUCCUAUGAGUAAAUUUGGAACAUAAAUUUGUUUUGUAAAAUUUUGUUCUCGGGAAAAAAUUUCUAUUUUUUUGUUCCCAAAAGUAGAUUUGAAAUAUAAUUGAGAAGUAAAAAAAAGUUGAUUCUUUAUUCCCGAGAAUAAUUCUAGAAUCAACCAACCUAUUUUCUCUCUUUUUUUUUUUUUUUUUGUCUUGUUCUUCCUCCCUCUUUCUUCUUCUUCUUCAACUACCGCCAUCGUUGCCGUCCACCGCCGCCAGUUGUUGGUGACCGGUUGGGCAAGGUCCGGCGAGCUCGUCGGAGGCUCGCUAGGUCACGACGAGGUCUGGCGAGCUCGCCGAAGGCUCACCUUGCCAUUGGUGAGGUGGAACUCACUCGGGCCUCCUUUGGCCACUAGCGAGGCUCGCCCAGCCAAGGCUUGGUCGACAAGGCGCCGCCUCGUCAAGGGCUAGUGAUGCUUCAGCGAGAUCGUCAACCUUCGUCUAGCCGGUCGUUGGUCAUCCCAAGGUCGGCGACCGGCAAACCUUGAAGGAGAAGAAGAGAAAGAAAAUAAAAAAAAAGAAAAAUAAUAAAAUUAUAAAAUUAUAAAAAAUUUAUAAAAAAAUGAUUUGGAUUAGAAAUUUUAAGAACUGUACCAAAUGCAAUUCUAUUUCGUAAAUUGAAAUUUUGGACAGUUAUCAAACAAAUUAAAAUAUUUAUAAGUUGUUCUCGGGAAUAGAAUAAAAAAGAAUCAUUUAUGAUCAGAAAUUCAUAAAUGAUUAUGGGAACAAAAACGUUACCAAACGCGCCCUUAGCCAUCUUUGACUAUUUUUCCAUCCAGGUUUCUAGUGUUCGGCAAGUUUAGUUCGAUUAGACAAGCCUCAAUGCCCUUCCCAUAUGUGAAAAUUACAAAAAUGCCCUCAUGUGGCAAAAAUUACCAUAUUGCCAGUGAUUCUUGUCAACUUGAAUGGACCAAUGGGAGCUUCUUUUAGCUUUUUUUAAUAGCAAAACAAGUGCUAUUGGCCAUUCAUCAUGAGAUCAUCCAAGCCACCCAUUGUGCAAAGUCAUCAAUCCAUGUGAAUUGAAAUGGGCCACUGAGGAGCUUGCUUAAUCAAGAAUAGUAAUUUUGACAUUUUGUAAAUAGUAAGCAUUGUUGGCUAAAUUAUCAUUUAUUUCAACUAACAAAGUAUGAAAUAAAAAUAUGUGAUGUCAUGUGAAGUUCUCAUUAUAUCAUGAUUGACGGCCGAUUCAAAGAUAUUAACACUGUAACAUUUAAUGACAACAUUGAAGGGGUGACUUCUUCUUUAAAGGUACAAAGAUUUAAAUAUUCUUAAAUUUGAUUUCAAGCAAAUAUUUAAGGAUUAACUUGAAUAAAAUUAAAGUGAAAGUUAAUUUUAAGCCUUAAAAAGGGACACGUAAAUGAAUCAAUAAGGAAAAAUAAAAUAAUAUUUCAUAAUAAUGUCUUAAUAGUACCUUUUAGCUAAGACUUUAGAAACAUGCGACAAUUUGAUUGUACUUGAAUUUUACUAGAAAAAGGAUUGAUCGAGAUAAAUUUAAGUUGAAAAAUAAACUUUAAGCUAACAAAUGGACACGAUUAAUGGAUUGAAAAGAAAGAAAUAAAAUAUAUAAAAGAGAAAAGUUUCUAUGAAAUCAGUGAUAAUUAAAAUUUAAAAGUAUACGAAAGAUAACAAAUACACGAAUUUUUUUUAAAAAAAGGGAGAGAAAAUUAAAAGAAAAAAAAAAGAACCAAUUCGGAGGGGCGGCAGAUUCCAUUCCAUCGCCCCUUCCCCGUAAAUUGGGUGGUUUAUCAAUGUGGCAUACAUUGAUUACCUAUUUGGUUACAAUUUGUAACCAGCUGCCAUCAUUUCAAAAAUACUGGACUGGCAGUCGUCGAGAGGCCAGUGCAGCAGAGCUAGGAUUAGGCCGGGGGAUGUUUCCAAAUUUGGUUACAAAUCCCUCCGUGGUUAACCCUUCCGUUUUAUUUACGUGGAACGGGGGCUCCGAUAACCACGGCCUUUGUUUAAGGUCCUUAGGCUGGACCAAUGCGACGUAUAUAUGGUCCGUGUGUAGAAAAGUUGACAUUGUGAGAUCAAUUGUUAAGUAACACGUGGCGAAUCCAAGUAGUUGAAAUGCACGCCCUCGUGAAAAUUUGUUAUUAUGGAACUUCAACUUCAACCUCAACUUUUAUGUUUGAGGCUUGCUAAGCUUUGCGUGGUGAAUGUGAUCAGAAAUUAUUUGGAAAAGAAAUUAUACCAUGCUCUAUAAUAUGAUUACGUGAUGAUGAAGGUGAAAUUAUAAAAUGUAAGAAAGCUUUUUAAUUGGAAAUGAAAAAUUGUUAAUGACUGUUGUCCUCAUAUUAGAAUUUUUUUAAGGGUCAAACUAUAUUAGAACUUCUCACACGCAGUAAUUUCAAAAGUGACUUAAUGAUUGAUGAUAGUUUUGGAUGGCUCGGUUGGGAAUAAAUGUUGGCGUGAUUUGUUUGAUAAUAAUAUUAUUUAUAUGUCUUUAACCUUUUCCCUGGACUCGAGAUAUUCCCGCUUGUUAUAUAUGGUUAGAAUAAAACAAAAUAAAAUAAUAUACUUAUAACAUCUAAAGCAACCUCAGACAGAGAGAGAGACUAACACGCUCCUGUAAUCACGGAAAAUCCAAUCUUAUUAUUAUCUAGACCACACUAAUCCUAUCUCUCCAAACCAAUAAAUAUCAUCAGUACCUACCUAUCAUGAAAGUAAAAUCAUAAAGCCAAAUACCAAUAAAAGAAAAGAAAUUAUAAGCCAAAUCAUCGUACGUCGUAAGUGAAAAAUAAUAAAGCAUAUAAGUGUAUAUAAAAAGAUUGCCCAAAUGACAAUCCACGCAAGAGUCAAAUAUUAUUUUACAAAACCUUUUACUUUUGGUCCUUAUACUUUCAUUUUUUACUUUUUUUUUCUUAUCAAAUUAUUUUAAUUUGUCUAAUUAUAUCCUUCUACUUUUUUCAUAAAUUUUUUAGUCAAGUCCCUCUGACACCAAAUGCAGCCAUAUCCAGCUGACAUGACCGUUGAUUGAUAUCAUAUGUGUGUGAAAAAAGAAGAAGAAGAAGACAAUAUAGACAGUAUUGAACUAUGACUUGUUGCCCGUUGUUGAUGCUUGUGUGGACCUCUACAUUGAUGCCAUGUUAGCGAAUUUGGUCUGAUUUUGUGUCGGAUGGAUUUGAGCUGAAAUUUUAUGAAUCUAGAACAACUUGAUUGGACGAACUAAGUGUACAUAAAUUUGAUUAGAAAAUGCAUGGAGUAUGUAAACAAUACAUAAGAUUUUUCGUCCAUUCUUUAUGAGGCUUAGAACCGUUAAUGCAUUUUCUUGCCAUUUAUUUCUUUAUGAGGUUUUGAAAUACACGUGUUAUACAUAUUUUAAUUACAUGUGGAUUUAUACUUUCAAUUCCCAAAGCCAUUAGCUCCAACGAGGGAAAAUUAUCAACCAUACGAGAUAUGUUAGAAAUUAUAUAGAAAAAUCGUUAAUCGUGUGGGUAAAUACUUCAAAAUAAUAGAGUGAUGUCUGUUUCAUAGGUAAAUACUUGCAAGUAGAGUGACAUUCCUUUCAUAACUGAGUGUUACUUACUUCAUUGAGAUUUACUUAAUCUAAAUAUUUUUCUUUAGAUAUUUAGAGUGCAUAUGGACAAAAAUUACUAGCUAGGGAAAGAAGUUGCUGAACUACUAGCGGUUUGAAAGGUACUUUUUGUUGAUGAAAGUGUUGACAAGGGCUGAUCACCGCGCCCUAUUGGCCCAAGCGUGUGCCUGGGCUUUUUUUUUUUUUUUGAACUCUAAAAACAAAAUUUUUGGAAAAAAAGUACAAGUUAAAUUUAAAAAUUGCAAUAUUGAAAAAAAUUGCACGAAAUUGAAAGAUAAUAUUUGUUCAUGCAAUUUCAAGAACAAGACAUAAAACAUUUAAAGUAUGUGGCAAUAGUAUACUACAAAAUUAUUUAAAUCUUGAUAUUAGGAAUAAUACGAACAGUCCUAAGCCCGACCAAAUUUGAUCCUCGUAACCAAGACAGCGGGGACAACAAAAAAGACAGGUGGAAUGAAUUUCUGCUUCAUGGCGAACCCCGCUGGCUUGAAGAAGGAACCACCGUGGGAAGUGGCCAAAGGGUCAAAAGCACGUUACUUAGAAAGUACUCCCUCAAGCAAUUCCUUCCUUAUGCAGAUUUGGGACACUACUCCGUAUGACUCAAUCAAGAGUCUGGGGAAUCGUAUAGCGAAGUAAGCAUCCAAACCAUCAACCGGUCCGAGGAUCUCCUGCCAGAAUCAUCAAAGCAACGACACAUUUAAGCCUUACAUGCAUGCUGCUGCAGAUAUUAUUACCACAGUUUCAUAUAGAGAGAGAGCGCGCAAAAGAGUACCUUAACUUCUUUUGAAAAUUCCAUGUGGUGGCUAUACACAUUUCUCACGGCUCUCAAUAAGUGUCUGACAAGGCUACCGUUGUAGUGCCUCCGACUCCGUAGCUCGGCCAUAACUGGAGGCUCUAUUUUGUCUUCCCAAUUCCCAACAAAAACCGAUUGCGCAGUGCUCUCCAAUGCAUUGAGAAGAUCUAGAUUGCCUACCCUGAUUUCCAAUUCUACUGUAUUGCUAACUUCACUAAGAAAGGACAGUCUCGUCUUCGAACUCCAAAAAAAUGGAUGGUGAAGCACCUCCAAUGCCUUUGGCCUGCUAGUCAUUAAAAAUAAUUUACUACUAAACCAAUAUGCUCAAAGAAAUCAACUACACAAACAAUUCUGAAAUUGACCAACUUCCCGAUUUUAAAAGCAUCGCAAGUUUGGCAUUCGUGCAAUCUCUAAAACAAUUAAAAUUGCAUUAGCUCAAUGAAAGAGCAACCAAAAUGUCUAAAAUCUCCCAUGCACUUCACAACUCAUGACUGGAUGAAGGCGGUUGUUUGACUACGAAAAGAACCCAGCAAUUAUUUACUCCAAGUACCUUAAAAUUAGCAAUCUAAUCAUCCAGUCUCUAGGAUUCUUAUUUUACAGUGAGCACUAUAUGCUAAACCCUUGGAAUGUUCGUACGAAAUCCUCUUCAGUGUAUGUAUAGCAGAUCUAAUAUUGCGCUAGGAAUGAUUGGAAUUUAUUUGUUCAUGUGUGGGUAACAAACUUAUAGCCUUGAUAACUAUAACUAGGCCUCCCACAAUGAUCAUCUUCUAUUUGAAUACCACAAUUGUCAAAGGCAUUUAGGCUAUCACAUGGUCAACCUUUUCCCCAGCUAUUGUUGUUGAUUGCCAAAGAAAUGAGUGGGAUCUACACUUUUUUGCUCAUUAAGUAGAGCCCCACCAGCAGGACAGAUAUUUAAGUCAUGUUGGACGAAUUUGAAGUCACCUUUAAUACUCACGAGAAUAAAUGAUGUUGGAAAUUAGUCAACUGGCAAUGGCUAUAAAAUCCAUCAAAUGGCAGAAUGAAAAUGGUAGUGAUGCAAAUUAAGGAUGACAAUACACUCACCUCAAUUUGGGGUCUUGGUUUAGUAACCACGAAAAUAGAUCAUGAGCUUCUGGUAUGUCCACAAAGGACAGGUCCAUUUUGUUGUGAACAAUGUUGUAGUCACGUUCUAGAUUUUCACCAAAUGGAUGUCUUCCGCGAGUGAAGAAAAAGCACAAGACACAACCUAAACUAAACACAUCCGUUGCCUGCGUUUGGCGCCCACCAUGAUGUAGCAGUUCAGGUGCUCGCCAUCCCGAGGUUCCACAACCUGCAAGACAGACAUCUAAGAUCAAUAAAACGAUCCUCAUCACUUGGACCAUAUAUAGAUGAAUUCGAUAGAUUCAUUAGUUAAUGAAGGGAGGCCAUGGCUAAGACUACUAAAUCUCCACAAACUUUACCACUACAUAAGAAGCGAUACAAUGCAGUAUGGAUCGUAUAUCGAUUGGGUCAAGUAUGGGUCAUCAAAUUUACAUUACAUGAAAAUGGAUCAAUAUGAGUCUAACCAUUUUUUACCCGACCCGCCCAUUUGACAGCCUUUUACCACUGUAUAAAUUCAAAUUAUGCAUGGAUCAAUCUUGAGGAAAAGAAGAUUAAAGAUCUCGAUUAAGCUGUCAUGAGCACUUACCGGUGUCAUGAUAUCCCAGGGAAGAUUUAUCUUCAGGAAGGUAUUUGCUAAUGCCCAUAUCAGAUAGCUGAGCACAAAAUGGUUGAUUUCUAGUAAUCAAGACAUUUCGAGGCUUCAAGUCCCGAUGGAUUAUUCUCGAGUCAUGCAAAUAGCUGAGUCCUUUCACCACAUGUCUGUGUCAUAAAAUAGAGAAGACAUCAUGACUUAAAUCAACAAUGUAUAUGGAACCAAGUAGCAUCCGAGCCACUUGAAGGCAUUAUAUACAUAUACUAAGCCAUAUCUUAUUCGAAAAUAAUGAAUUUCUUUAACAUACUAAGACCCAGUAAGGAUGUCACAAGUACGCUGGAGAAAAAAACUGUUAUAGGUUCUUUACAUAAACUCUACAAUGAAAACCCUGGUAUAGAAUUUGAUCGCCGUAUCAAUCGCAUCAACAUUUACCGAUUUGAGUGCGGGAGGAUUCUACAGCAUUCGCAAAUCAAAAGGGAAGAAGGCAUACUGUUUUUACCAAGAUGGGAAAAUUAAUGGAAUUAUUACCACGUAAUUGAUAAUACCUAAAUGAUUUUCAUGGAAAGAAAACUGAGAAUUUAGCCUUGAUGGUGAGAUUGAACUUAACAGACUCUAGAAAGGAAGCUGCAAGGUUCAAAACUUAGCCCACGAUGGUGAUUGCAUUGGGCUCACCACAGUCAAGGUAGUGACCUAAUAAUUCCCUGUAUCAUGCAUCACUUGGAAGUUUUUGCAGGAGAGCUAUUAUGUCCUUCAACUAGCACCUGAUACCCACAUAAGCCAGCAAGGAAGAGUACAUGAAGCUAGUGAUCUCUAUGAGAUGCUUCUGAGUCAUGUAAAACAUAUGUAAGCAAGCUCACUACAAAUACAAAUAUGUGACAGUUGAUUUUAGGAGUGCCGCAAUAAGAUACUGCAGUUAUCUCUCUAUUCAGACCCUUUUGGCAAAUCAAAACAUAGAAAUUACCUCAUCAGCUUCCGCAACAAAGGUGAGGGAUAACCAUCUGCCCGCCACAAGUUAACAUCUGGCAUCAUACCCCUAAUAGAAUCCAAUUUGAUUUUAAAAUGUUCCGUUGAUGCUGGAUCACCGGGGAACACAGAGUUAUUUGAAGAAUCCGAAUGUGCUUGAAUUAAUUCGUCUAAGCUGCAAGCACAGCGCUCCAGAGCAAGAUACACGAAUUCCGAGUUGGACUCCACUCCAUGAUACCGAACGAUAUUUUUAUGUCCGUCAUGUGCCCUCAAAAUCUGAAUCUCGUUGGAAGCAACAUCACAAUGAGCCCGAACAAGGCGUUUCACUGCAACAGGUCUACCUUCAUAGAUGCCCUCAAGGACGAUGGUCCCAUUACUUCCUUUAGCUAUUUCUUUUCUUGAACAGUAGUCGAUUUUACCAAUUUUUUUUCCAUCCAAUGCCACCAUUAGGAAGGCUAUCCUUUCUGUCAAAACUUCCAUAUUUGAUUUUCUUCGUGUGAUCUCUUGAUAAAGUGCCUACAUAUACGUCGAAAAACAAAACUGUGAGACUUGAUAUGAAAUGGGUUAAAACGAACAAUACCUCAAGUGAAUUAAUCAAGGGGCAAUGUGGCAUGAAAGCAACAACCCCUCUAGUAGCCGUGUGAUUUGAGGACGAACUACUUAGAAGCUGGCAGGCCUAUAAUGACCCAGUUCGAUAGGGGCAGGGAGUAAUUGUCGGGAUGAGAAACAACUUAGUAUGGCAUGGGUCAAAGCAACAAUACUCUGAGUGAAUUAAUCCGGGGUGUUGCUCCUAAGGUAAACAUAGAUGAAAUUUGAAAUGACGUUCACAAGAUUGGUACAUGAGAUUGAAUUUAAGCUAAUGCUUUAUGUGUACUGAUAUAAUUGUCCAUCUCCAAGGUCAGCCCAACAACAAAGAAAGUUCACUAAUCAAGUGAACUUAUGUGCAAGAAGCAAUUCGUGCGAGUUUAUUUUUUGCCUCAAUCUUUGCAUGUGAUAGGUUGCAUUUGAAAUGAAUUGACGAGUUAUAAUACUUUGAUUUAAAGCUUUAUAUAACAGAAAUUGCAUAUACUUUAAUUUCCGUGAAUGCACGGGUUUACACCUAUGUCCCAGUCUCCAAAAAUUUAGGUGGAGUCCUAGCUUCUGCGUUUCACAUGACUCUUUUCAUUUGUGAUAUGAGGGAAUAGAGAGAGUUAUGGCUUUUCAAGAUUUGAAUGUCACACCUAAAAAGCAUUUGUUUGUUCCUAUUUUCCAAAGAACUAUUAGUUAUCAUUCAUCGACUCCUAGACUCCUCUCUUCCUAUUAAUUCCUUACCUAUUUUGUGUUGUUAGUUACUAUAGGAAAUCUGAGCGUCCUACUUAUAUCUCCACUCUUAAAGUAAGAAUCAGAAGACAAAUUAAGCAUGCUUCUUGAGCUUUAACAUAUGAGGAAUUUGGAGAUGCACAUCACCUUGUGGAACCUCGGUAUUGGGUUCUUCCACUUCUGCGUUCACUGCGGAUAGCAUGUUAGUCAAAUCUUCAGGUACAAGGUCUCGUUGGUUGAUGAGAUGACUCAAAUUCCGCGGCUGAAUGUAAGAAUCAACCGCAUGAGGUUGAGGGGGUCGUGGCCAGAAUGGAAAGGCCCUGUGUGGGCUCACGUUUCGAGCAGGAAGAGACUGAUUGCGCAAAUUCGUCUUUGGAAGAAAGGUUGAUGAACUUGCACCUACAGUGCUUAUGACACUAGAACUCAGGUCCGACCAGGCAUCGGAUAAAGUCACCGCCCAAUGAUCUUCAGGUAACGUCACCCAAUCAUCCGUCCAAUCAUCUUUAUUGUUCACAGUCUCAGGCAAUGGAGGAAAGGCUGAUGAACUUGGACCUACAGUGCUUAUGACGUCAGUGCUCAGGUUCGGCAAGGCAGCAAAUGAAGUGACCAUCCAAUCACCUUCAUCAUUCACAGUCUCAAGCGGAUGCGGACACUCUUCAACGUUGCCUUGGUCGUUGCUUAAUUUCACCGCUCUUUUACCAUUCAACGCUGUGAGGGCUUCUGAUCUCACUUGGUCAUCAACACGCUUGCAGCCCUGAAUCCCAUAUCCCGCAACUCCAGCAAGGUGGGCCCUGAUGGCCGUCUUGCUUCCGCGAUGCUCAUACCCACAGAAAUUACAAACCCACUUGUUGUUGGGAAGGAUGUGUACAUGUAUGCGAAAGGGGUCCCGCUCUCUCGACAUUUCCCCUGUAUCCCACUGAAGAGUAAACAGAUGUUUCAAGGAAGACCUUGGAUCCUAUCAGGAGUUUCGAUCAAUCCGUUCUUUUUUUGAUUUAUCGGACAAGUUUUCAGGAUACUUCUUCGGAAAGAAAAUAGAUGAAUCUUCAUCCAAGAAGACGAAGACUUACACGGACCGGAACAAGAAAAGGAAAGGAAAAUGGUGGGGGUUUUGGAUGACUUUACUUUAGUAAAAGAGAAUCCUUUCGGUGGGUCUGACUUUCCACGUAGGCAAUGGACAGCCCACUCAUUGUGCGCCACGUGCCUCGGCGGAUCCACACCCUCAGAAUUUUUGAAACUCCCUGGCGCUCUCUCUCUCCGUUACUUCUCCAUUGGCUCGUCAUGUUGUCUCUGCGCGCGCUCUGUCUCUCUCUGCCUCUUCGUUUCCCGACUUCUCCUCCUUCCCUCCAACGAGAUCGACUUCAACCUUCCGUGCGCUUCACUCCCGACCACGCCUCCGCCUCCGCCUCCUCCUCCACCUCCGUCGUCACCUCCCGGAGCCCCAUCGGUGGCUCCGAUUCGACGUCCGCGUCGGACGAGCUCAGGUUAGGCUUUUCGCCUUGCUCUGCUCUCUCCCUAUCUCCAUCCCUCUUCACGACCCCUCUUCCCUUCAUUAGCAACCUCUGCUCCCUCCCUCUUCACCACCGAAAGCUCCCUCUUUUCAUUUUGAAUCCAAAUCUUCGUCUCUCCUAAAUCUUCUGCGCGCUUCCCUCCUCUUACUGCGGAGGCCUCUUUCCAUUCACUCUCUACUCCGACGCCGCCUCCGCUUCCGUCGACGAGCCCCAUUGGCGGCUUCGAUUUUUCCUCUGCGUCCGACGAGUUACCAAUAUAUUCCAUUGAGCUAGAAGUAGUUCCGGGUUGUGGGGUUCUCCAAUCGGGGACGGGAAGCGGGUCAUUAACCACGUCGCUCGCGAAAACUGUGGCUCCUACCGGCCGUGGGUAUACAUUUGAUUUCCAUGAGCAAAGAGCUGCAUCUAAACUGAGGCUUCCAACCGGUUAUGUCUUGGCAUGUUCAACAAUUCACGGGAUAUUAUGGUCCAGAUGAUGCAACUUUGUUUUGAAGAUUCUAGCUUGUGCUUAUUCCAACAUAUCAUAGACAUAUAUGGGUGUAUGUAUGUACGUAUGUUCUCGUGUUGUCAUAUCUGAAGCUAAGUUAAGGCUUCAGCUUAGCCUGAAUGAGAGAGUGUUUGUAGUAGUUUUUAAUGAUGGGGGACCACUAAUCCACUGGGUUUCACUGCAGCUGAAUGACUGCUCACUGAUUUCGCAUAAUUAUAUUCCUAGCUUAAACAAAUAUAAUGAUCUUGGAGAGACUUUUAUGGACACUCAGUCUCAGAUGAUGUUAUAGAGAGAAUUUACACUACGGUGUAGCCAUUUAAAUGACUACGGCGGAUGAGAAUGUCCAAACUGGGGGUAGAAGAACUUUUCUGGGGCGGUCAUUGUAGAUUUUUGAGAUUUUGAGAUGAAACUUUCCCACUGUGUUGGUCCUAAGGCUAUGCAUAUAUCGAUGUCCUUCGUCUGCAAAAAAAUUUCAAACUGAAGUAAACUCUAAAUCUGCUUUCUUUGGCUGGCUCAGCUUGUUCCAGCACUUGGAAUCCGUCUCUCUUCCUUGUGUGAGUGCGCUCCUCCUUAAUCUCUGCUGCUCAGAAAAGAAUUAGUUUGAUGUCAGCAGGCUUAUACAUCUAGGGGAAAUUUUCCUCAAGCAGAUUAAAUGGAUCUGUCCAACUGCUCCCACCCUUACCAUGGCUUUGUUAGGCGGAUUUCCUCGUACCGCAUGUAAGAUGAUUAAUCUAUUCCUAUCUUUUCUUUUUUCCAAUAUGAUCAAUUCAUGAAUAUUGUAAUUUAAAAGUAUGUUUUGACGCAUGCUCCUAGGGUUUGAUGUUGGAGAGAUUUCAGAAGAGGGUCCAGAAGACUGGGAAGGCUUAGAUGCUACGCAGUGCAUAUUGCUAAUCUUUUGUCAACACAACCAGCUAAUGAUAAUUAAUACCAGGAGAAAAUUUUCUAGAAGAAGCAUUUCUCUAAUACGUGCAAUCUUUAAUUUUUUUCUAUUCUGAAUUACCUUCUGGAACUAAUUUCCAGACUGUGGUUGUCAAUUAUGCAGAAUGUUGAGAUAAGAACUUCACAUUUUCACAACUUUGUGGCCUCUAGCGAGGGCUUGAUCCUUGCAAUCUGGGCAAGGGCCACGACCCUCGUUAAUGGCCGAUGAGGGCUUGCAAGCCCUUGCCUAGUGGCUAGGGAGGGCUGUUGGCGAUGUUCACAAGCCAUAAUGAAAAAAAAAUUGUAAAAUUUGUUCACAUUAGCAUCAGUUGUGUCAUGUAGGUCGUGUCAGGUGAGACAAUUGGCAUCUAUAUCGACGAUUUCUAGUCAAAAUUGACCUAAUAGACUUAAUUGAUACAAAUGCAAAAAGACAUAAAAUUAAAUUAGUCCAAUUAAAAGUUUUGAGAUUGAAUUGGUACCAAUAUAAUAAAUUUAAGUUUUUUUUUUUUUUUUUUACUUUUCCUAUGUUCAAGCCAAUAUUGAUAUCCGUCCAAAAGAAAAAAAGAAAAGAAAAGAAAAAAAAGCUAUUACCGGUUGCUUUCCAACUCUUGGCAAACGUAGUUGAUAACUCAACGAUGGUUUUUGAUGAUAGCCAUUCCCACUUUGGAAAAAUCGUCACCUGCCAAUGUUACUCCUUACCUGUCCUAUUAUGCACAAUGUCUGAUAUCAUCGCAUCUAACCUAGUCGUCCAUUAUAAAUUUAUUCGAUAUCCAUCUAUAGCGUCAACUAUAGAAGCUACGUCACUUUACAUUACAAUAGUCGUUGCAUUCUAAUCGUUAAGUUUGCGUUUGCCCACGAGAAGGAUGGAGUUAUCCAAUCGAGUCAGAACAGCUUGAACAAAAGGAUCAAAUAUGUCUAACUUCAAAUUCAUCAAGAUCUACAAAAAGUGGGGUUAUCAUAUUAACAAUUUCGGAAUGAUCAACAGGUAACGUGCCUAAGAUUGGCAACAUCUAGCACACAAAAAACCGAUCCCUUCAGCUCCAUUGGACACCUACAUACAUUCAUCACCCAUCGAGAAUUUUAAUUAGGUACAAGAUUACACCUGAGUGACAAGUGCGCAAUGUGACAGUGAUGCCAAAUACUAACAAAAAUCAGCCUACGCUCCCAUUUGAUUCUUUCGAUGUUCAUACGCGCUGAUUGUUGCAUCAUCCUGGCGAGCAUUAAAUGAAAGAUUUAAUGAAUCCAACAACCAACUUGAAUCGAUCCUCGUCCCAUACUACCUGCAUAAAACAUAGUACCUACUGCAUCAAAUGGCCCAAUGUGGUCGAACAGAAAUGAAUGAAGAGGUUACCUAUUUACCAUCCCUGGAAGAUCGUGCUCCAAAUCAUUGGACUACAUGAAAUUGAUCACAGAGAACUCCACAGGCAUGCCUAAAUAGAUUCUUGCAUAUACAAAUCCACACAUUCAUUCCGCCCCAACCAAUUCACAUACAAAACAAGUUUCUUUUACAGUAUGAUAAAAGUUGCAUAGUUCCAUUUGAUACCAACCUUAUUUAAUUCGGUUAUACGCAUGCAUAAUGUUGUCCAUAGUCAUUCUAGCAAGCAAAAGAACGGGUUACAACAUAUUCAUGUAAAUAAACAUUGCAGAAUGUUUGCUUGCCCAGGGAUGUUUAACUGUCAAACAGUUUCGUCAUAGUUUCCAUGUUACGACGAAGAUCCAUAAUUAAGGGUUAACAACUAAAAUUGUCAAUCGACGAUCCGUCUACGGUAAUGAAGUAAUGUCAAACAUCAAUAUGUGUCCUCCUUUAACAAUAAAAGAAAACAACACAGUUCAGCAUACCCAUCGCCAUGCGCUCCUUGAUCUGGGACAUCAUUUGGGGUCAAGAUCGACAACUUCGGAUUUUCAAACUUGUGCUUUCUAGACUCCCAUUAUGGGAACAUGACUCGUAUGGGAAAUUGUCCAAAAAAUUAUGUGCAAAAGAAAGUUAUAAUAAAUCUUUGCCUCUUAUGAAAUAUUUACAAGUUGAAGUCAAAUUAACACUACUGUUUUUCUGUCAAAAGCAUAAAUGUACGAGCUUCCAUUUGUUUCGGGAAAAAUAAAUGAUUUGAAAAAUAUUUUUUUAAAUAUGAUCGCUUAUAUUAUUUAUGAAAAUGAAUAAAAUUAAUAAUUCUAUGGCCAGCACUCUUUCACUUCCAGGAGACCACUCAGGGAAGACUUUAUCUUGAAAAGUGCAGCUCUACAAGAUUUGCCUUGGCUAGUCGCGGGUGAUUUCAACGUUAUCAGAGACCCAACUGAUAGACUUGGGGGUACAGACAGCUGGAUACCUUGCUUCGAUGAAUUUAGACAGUGUUUAUCUCUGGCUAAGUUAGAUGAUCUGCGGUAUGUUGGAUGUCAUUUUACCUGGUCUACUUCUUCCGGUCCUUUGCGGAAGGCAAGGAAGAUUGAUAAAGUCCUAGUCAAUUCCAAGUGGUGCCAGGUUUUUUCCUUCUCAGAAGCUUCUUUCCUUGCACUAGGUAUCUCUGACCAUUCCCAUAUGGUGGUCAAAGUUUUAAACUCGGUUCAUCGAAGGAAGCAUUUCAAAUUCUUUGACUUUUGGAUGGAUCAUCCUGAUUUCAUUCCAAUUGUCAACCAAGUUUGGGAAAUGCCGAAUAAGGGAGUGCCCAUGUUUAGAUUGGUGUGCAAACUCAAGGCCCUCAAAGCUCGUCUCAAGACUCUCAACAACGAAUCCUUUUCCAACAUCUCCAUCAGGACUUCUAAAGCGAGGGUUGCGCUCUAGAUCACUCAGCUUGACCUUCAGCAGGACCCGAACUCUGUUGCCCUUGCAGAUUUGGAAAAGUGUCAGCGGCGGACCUUCUUGGACUUGCGUUCUAAAGAAGAAUCCUUUUUUUUCAGACAAAAGUCCAGAGUUAAGUGGCUAAAGGAGGGGGAUCGUAAUACUAGAUUCUAUCAUCAUUAUGUCAACAAAAGGCAGAUAAGGAAUAGAAUUCUUUCGGUUAUGGAUGCGUCGGGUAUCCAAAUCACUGAACCAGAGCUUCUUCACCAGCAUUUUGUUAGGCACUACCAAGAUCUUUUGUCGCCACGAAUACAAGGAAGACCCUUGAUUGGGGACAUCAGCGAGACUAUUCAGUUUCCCCUCAAUGCUGAACAGGUUAGCUUCCUUGAUCGGCCCGUUUCUGACUCAGAGAUCCGUGAUACUCUAUUCUCUCUAGCUAGAGGCAAAGCUCUUGGACCUGAUGGUUUCAUAGUUGAAUUCUUCAAGCAUAACUGGAAGACGGUGGGUCAGUUGGUUGUAUCGACAGUGAAGGAUUUCUUCAUCUCAUGUAGGCUCUUAAAGGAGAUCAACAACACCAUUUUGGUCAUGGUACCAAAAAGUCCGAAUGCGACUUAUGUGGAUGACUACAGGCCAAUCGCCUGUUGUAAUACCAUCUACAAGUGCAUUACUAAAAUUAUGGCCAAUCGGGUUGCUGCAGUGCUACAGGAUGUCAUUGGGCCUUUUCAGAGUGCAUUUGUUAAAGGCUGGCGGAUUAGCGAUAAUAUCCUUCUGGCAUAGGAACUCUUUUCUGGUUUUCACAUUCAGCCCUACUCACCCAAGUGUGCAAUUAAGGUGGACUUCAGGAAAGCCUACGACACAGUCGAUUGGAACUUCCAUGAGGUUGUCCUUCAGGCCUUCGGAUUCCCCGAUCACUUCACCCGGCUCAUCAUGACUUGUGUGAGCACCCAUAAUUUUUUCAUUGCUUUGAAUGGGGAGUUACAUGGAUUUUUUGCCAGUGGUCGUGGGCUUCGUUAGGGGGACCCCCUUUCUCCCUACCUGUUUACAUUGGUCAUGGAGGUACUUUAUGGUAUUCUCACUACUCGUUCUUCAUUGCCGGAGUUCAAAUAUUUCUGGAGAUGCAAAGUGACCAGCCUAUCACACUUAUUCUUUGCGGAUGAUGUCUUCUUGUUCUGUGAAGCCGACUUGCCUUCGGUGAAGCUCUUCAAGGAAGGCCUCCAAAUCUUUCCGGAUUGGUCUGACUUGGUUCCAAACGCAAAUAAAAGUGAAGUCUACCUUGUAGGAGGAUCACCUUCCUUAAGGAACCAAAUCCUCCUUACCCUUGGUUUCCACGAAGGAAGCCUACCAACUCGCUAUCUCGGGGUUCCCAUCAUCACUUCCAGGAUCAGUAAGGCGGAUUGCUGCGUGUUAGUCAACCGCAUCACAGCGAGGGUACAAUCAGCGAGGGUACAAUCUUGGACUUAUCGCUUCUUAUCCUUCGCCGGUUGGCUACAGUUGAUCAGGUUAGUCCUUCAUGCCAUCCAAGCAUACUGAGCUAGUGUAUUUAUUUUACCAGCAGCGAUCUUAGAUCAAAUCGAAAAAAUUCUUAGACAAUUCCUAUGGAAAGGCCCAGAGUUGGGAAGAGGGGGUGUAAAGGUUUCAUGGGAGGACGUGUGUUGCCCAAAAGAAGAGGGGGGCCUUGGCAUCCGUAGGCUUCGGGAGUAUAACAAGGCCGCCAUGUUAAAACAUAUAUGGAUCUUGUUUGCUGAUAAGGAAUCUUUAUGAUGCAAAUGGAUUCACUCAACCUUCUUAAAAAUGACAAAUUUCUAGGUGGCCAAAAAGCCGACCUGUUGUUCGUGGGCUUGGAAGAAGAUCCUCCAACUCAGGACUGAGUUUCGAAGCUCCUUCUAUUGGAGAAUCGAGGAUGGUUGCUCGGUGUCCCUCUGGUUUGAUAACUGGCACCCCAAGGGUCCUUUGAACUUGUAUUUUCCGGACUCAGCCAUAUAUACAUUUGGCCUUUCUAGCAGGCGACGGUGGUGGACCUAUUCACCGACUGUGGAGCUUUGACCAAGUUGGUCUUGGACUCUUGGGCGGAACCCCUUCCCACCCUUUCCCACCUCUCCGAUCAUUUUGGUUGGAAGGGAAACACCUCCCACUUGUUCACGGUGGCCUCGGCUUGGGAUUUGACUAGGAGGAGGAAGACUCGGGUCUCCUGGCACACGUUCAUAUGGAACAACUCGAUCACUCCAAGGUACCAACUAAACCUUUGGCUUAUUGUCAAACACAGGCUUCUUACCCAAGCUCUAUAUUAUCUAUGGUAGGAUAGAUAGUGCCUUGUGUCCCUUCUACAUGAGGUGCCGAUUCCAUAAGACCACCUAUUUUUCGAUGCCGCAUCUCUGCUAGCAUCGCCUUCUUUUCGGCCUCCAGAUGCAAUCUACCAUGGCGGAACAGUUCGUGGGCUAAGAAUCUCAACUGGGCCGCCUCCUUCCUUGCUGGCAAAGACUUUUACAAGUGCAUUAUUCGCUUCUCUUUUGGUGCUCUUUGUUAUUUCAAUUGGAAGCACAUGAAUGUCAUCCUCUUUAGAGAGCAGCGCUUAUCCAUUCCAGCGGUGAAGAAUCAACUCAUCAAGGUCGUCAGAGACAAGGCCACCACAUUCAGGAGUGUGGAUGAUACUUAUAGAAACUGGAGAUUGCAGUGUAGUUGGGGUAUUGAUCCGAUCAUUUUUUUAGCUGGAGAGUCUUCUACUUCGGUAGGGCCCUAGCUUGGUGUUUGCUGUUUGGAUACUCUUCCUCCGCGUGGGUGCUUCCUUGAUGGCUCUUCACUUUUGUCGUUGGCGAAUGUGGGCGUAGAUUAUGGUUCGUCUGGCCUUCUGUGGCCUCCCGCUGCUUUCCUUUUCAUUUCACCAUUGUUUUGGCUAUUUCUGCUUCCUCAGGCCCACUCUUGCGGUCCUCUUUUGCAUUUGGCUCCCUUCCACUCACUCUAACUUGUUGUCUUGUUGAGUGCAAGUUUUGUGGCGCCGAAUCUUUUGUAAUUGUUGGUUAAAGCUAUAUAUUCUUACCCUUUACCAAAAGAAGAAGAAGAAGAUGUUUAGAUACAAAUGUUAUCAAUAAUGAAAACAUAUUUCAUUAACUAAUUAAUUUAAGCAAUACAAGCAAUCGAUUUUAAGAAAAUAUUUUCCAAAUCAUUCAUAUUCCACGAUAUAAAUUAAACCUGAAAGUAUGGAAAAUCUACUAGUUGUGACACUGACUAAACACUUCUUUGUGGAUUCCAGGAAUCCCACAACAACACCUUCGAUCACUUCACUCGAACAAUUAUCCACUACUAGUGGUUGUUUUGACUCAUUCAUCAGAGAACUGAUCGAAGGUGUUGUUGUGACACCGAUAUAAAUUAAACUUGAAAGUAUGGAAAAUCUACUAGUUGUGACACCGACUAAACACUUCUUUAUGGAUUCCAGGAAUCCCACAACAACACCUUUGAUCACUUCACUCGAACAAUUAUCCACUACUAGUGGUUGUUUUGACUCAUUCAUCGGAGAAGUGGUGGAUGUACUACCUUUUUUGUUAUGAAACAAUAAUCAUAAUUAGAGGAAAAUUGCUACUUCAGUUCACAAAAUCCAAUGUAAUCUUAAAAUUUUUAAUUGGUCCAAUGCAAUACUAAUCUCUUAUGUGAAAUUUAAUGUGGUCCUUUCAGUCAACUGUCGUAUGAAAUUACUGAUGUGGCCUUCCAGUCAUCUUAACCAUAGUUUGUGGUAUGACCGGCAAUCUAACAUGCACAAACUCAAUAAAAAAGACAUCGAUUUUUGUUUCAUCAAAUCUAACAAAAAAACAGAGCAAAAGCCACAAAACCCUCGAAUUCAACUCCCUCAGUUCGCUAAGGGUGUGUUUGUUUAAAAUUGUUUCUGUUUCCCGGAACACAAAUUUUUGUUCUUUUGUUCCGAGGAACAACAAAAGAACAGAAACGUGUUUGUUUACACUUUUGUUCCCGGGAACAAAAAAUCUAUUUUUUUUUUGUUCCGGAAAACAGAUUUGGAACAAAACCAAGAAAUAGAUAAAAAACUUGUUUAUUGGUCAUUGGGAACACUUUCGAGAAACGACACUUUGAUCAUCUUUGUCUCCUUAUUUUCAUGAUGCUUAUAUACUUAUCCUAUUCUCAUUUCGCUGGUCACCAGUCAUCCGGCCACGGCACGUCGCCGGACGACUGGCUAGAUGACGUCCGGCGAGCUCGUCAGAGCGCAGUCCGGCCCCCGGAGAGGCCCAGCCACGGCGAGGCUCGUCGACCUGAGCCUCGCCGUGGUCGCGCCAAGCUCAGCCUCGCCUGAGGUGGGCGAGGUUGGCCUCACCGGGGCCAGGCUGGCCUCCAACGAGCUCGCCGGACGUCACCCAGCCAGUCGUCGGCCACGGCAGUGGCCGGUGACUGGCCAAAGAGAAAAAGAAAAAAGGAAAAAGAAAAUAAAAAUAUUAAAAAUUAAAAGAAAAAGAAUUAUACAAGUUUACCAAACGUGUUUCUAUUCUUUUUCUAUUCCAGGAACACAAAUUUUGUGCCGUUACCAAACACGUUUUUCUGUUAAAAAAUUGUUCCCCGGAACAGAAAUAGUUUUUUCUAUUUCUGUUCCUAGGAACAUUUUUUGAAUAAAAACGUUAUGAAACGCGCCCUAAAAAACCCCAAAAUUGACCUCUAACCCAAAUUCAUGAAAAGAAUCCCCAAUUUCCACUUUGCUAGAUCAAAAUCCACAAAGAGAUAAGCGAAUUUGUCGCAAUCAAUGAUUGUGGUUCCUCUAAUCAAGAAUGAUAUGUCUAUGUUUUGCUCUUGUGACUUGAAAUCUCCUCUACAAGCAGCAAGACCAAAGGAGUACGGGGAAAGAAGAUUUCAUGGCUGCCCAAGAUAUCAAUUUGGAGGAAGUUACAAUUUUUUUAGUUAGGUUGACACAUAAAUCAGUCAAUUGCCAACGAGCGUGUUAAAAUUUUUUCAAGGGAGCAAUGUUGAUGAAGAAACAAUGUCAACCCAUCAUGAGGAUUAUGGCAAUUCGAUGGAAGCUAAGCCCAAAGCUCUUAAUGUAAGAGUUUUUUAUUUUUAUUUUUUUAUAUGAGCUAUAUUAAUUGAUAUUGUAAUUUACCGUACAUAAUUGGUCUAUUGAGGUGAAAUAUAAAAAUUCUUAAUUAGUCUAAUGUGGAACUUGCUAAUGUGAACCGAGUAAAGCGUGGCUUGUAAUGAAAGGUUUAUGGCUUAAAACUUUAUAGAUAGAGCUCAAGUGUAUUUUCUAACCUUGAUACACAAAUAACCUCAUAUAAUGAGUGUUUAGUGAAUGCUAAAGGUUAGAGGUUGUCUCACAUUAUCAGCUACUAAUCUUGGUUAGAUUCAAAGAUGGAAUGACCAAAUUAGUGAACAUGCAAUUGAAAAAUCAAAGAUGGAAUGCCGGCUUGAUUCAACUUGAUCCAUUUCAAACCAACAUCCAAUUUGAUCAAUUGAAUUUCAAUUUGGCCAAUGGAACCUCAAUUUUACACUUUGGUCUAGUUCACAAUGCAAUUUUAAUCGAAACUGAGGGAAUUACGGCAUUUCAUGUAAAAUUAAUCAAACCAAGUCAAGUCAAUUCAGUCAGUUGCAUCUAAUUUGAUCCAAUUCAUUUGGGAAUUUUCAAUUUAACUUAGAUUAGACAAAAUUAAGAAAAAUGGGAACAAAAUUGGAGCUUAAUUGAGCCGGCCAAGGCCCAAGUCAAUCUGGGCCGAUUGGCUCAAGCCAAUUCGAUUGAUCUUGACCUGUUGAGGCCAAUCAGCCAUCUCUGACUAUUUUCCAGCCAAGUGUUUGGCAAGUUUAUUCCAACUAGACAAGCCAUGGAACCCUCCCCAUAUAGAAGCGUGCAACGGGAACUGCCCGGACUGGACUGAACCAGUCGCUUUUAGGCAGUUCCCACAGUCAGCGGUCCGAUUUCUAGUUCCUACUCUUGGACCCGAUGACCGGUCGGUUCGAUUCCCAGUUCCAAAGUGGGAACCGAACCAGAUCAACUUUUUAAAUAUAUACUUAUGAUAUAUAUUUAAUAUAUAUAAUAAAAUUUAUUGCAACCGAAAUUGCAAUUGAGGUAACAACCUCACGUGUGACCAAAAGACCACAAAACUCUUCUUGUUCCUUUUUUUUUAAAGACAAAGCCUAUUUGUUAGUUUCUUCUUCUAUCCAAUGUGGGACUAGGCUCUAAGAGACCCUCAUUCCCCAAGGCUCAUGCUCACUUCCUCUCUCUCUUGCUCCCCUCACUUGCAAGAGACAAGGCACUACAAGCCUCCAAGAGUCCCACAUGGAGCACAUACUCAAAGAGCAUAAGAGAGAUUGUCUAUAAAACUCAGGUCAAGUACAAUCUUAGUCAUAUUAUUUUUUUUUUUGGUAAGAAUCUUAGUCAUAUUGUUCAUGGCUUUUAUGUUAAAGAAUGAAUGUGAAAUACACAAAGUGUGAUUGAUGCUCACACAAGUAGAGUUUGAAUUUUUUGCACUUGGAGACAUGUGCGAUUAGUUUUAUUGGGCCACCCGGGAACCAAAUUGGAUUGAUCGGUCCGGAGCACGAUCACUCUUUACUAAAAAGAAAAAAAGAAGAAGAAGGUGGUCGGCUUCGUUGGACCGGAUCGAACAGGAACCAGUUCCCGGUCCAAGGACUAAAUGGUCCGGUCCAUGGUUCUCAAAAUUGGGAACCGGUCCCCUCAGUCCGGUUCCCCAUUCCAAGAACCGAUCAAUCCUAUCCCAUAUGUGAAAAUUACAAAAAUGCCCUCAUGUGGCAAAAAUUACCAAAUUGUCAGUAAUUCUUGUCAACUUGAAUGAACCAAUGGGAGCCUUUUCAAAUAGCGAAGCAAGUGAUAUUGGCCAUUCAUCAUGAGAUCAUCCAAGCCAUCCAUUGUGCUAAGUCAUCAAUCCAUGUGAAUUGAAAUGGGCCAAUGAGGAGCUUGCUUAAUCAAGAACAGUAAUUUUGACAUUUUUUAAAUAGUAAGCACUGUUGGCUAAAUUAUCAUUUAUUUCAGCUAACAAAGUAUGAAAUUAAAAUAUGUGAUGUCAUGGGAAGUUCUCAUUAUAUGAUGACUAAUUCAAAUAUAUUAGCACUGUAACAUUUGAUGACAACAUUGAAGGGGUGACCUCUCUUCUAAGUUACAAUGAUUUAAAUAUUCUUAAAUUUGAUUAAAAGCAAAUAUUUAAGGAUUAACUUGAAUACAAUUAAAGUGAAAAAUUAAUUUCAAUCCUUAAAAAGGGACACGUAAACGAAUCAAUAAUGAAAAAUAAAAUAACAUUCGAUAAUAAUGUCAAAAUAGUACCUUUUAUCUAAGACUUUAGAAAUAUGUGACAAUUUGAUUGUACUUGAAUUUUACUAGAAAAAGGAUUGAUAGAGAUAAAUUUAAGUUGAAAAGUAAACUUUAAGCUAAUAAAUGGACACGAUAAAUGGAUUGAAAAGAAAGAAAUAAAAUAUAUAAAAGAGCAGAAUUUCCUAUAAAAUCAAUGAGAAUUAAAAUUUAAAAGUAUGCGAAAGAUAACAAAUACAAGAAUUUUUAAAAAAUGGGAGAGAAAUUUAAAAAGGAAAAAGAAGAACCAAUUUGGUGGGGUGGCAGAUUCCAUUCCAUCGCUCCCUUCCCCGUAAAUUGGGUGGUUUAUGAUUUUCACUGUGGCAUGCAUUGAUUACCUUAUUUUAUGGGGAGAAUUACCAAAAAAGUCCUAAAUCUAUUGCAAUUGUGCUAAUUCAGUCAUAAACUUUUUAUUUUUUGGCCAAUUUAGUCCUAAACCUUUUACUUUUGUUCCAGUUCAGUCCAGCUGGCCAAAAUUAGCUGGCCGGCACUGACGUGGCAACUGGCCGGUGCCGGCGAGCUUUUUUUUUUAAUAAUAUUUUAUUAUUUUUAUUAAUUUUUUUUUCUUUUUUUUUCCCUCCUCCCUCCUCCUUCCUUGGGCUUCAGCGACCGGCCAAGCUGGCCGGUCGCCGGACUAAGGCAAUCCGGCAGGACGAGGAGGCCUCGCCAGACGCGACGGCGAGCCCCCCUCGCCGUCGCGUCUGGCGAGGGCUUGCCUCACCUCGCCGUCGUUGGGCGUGAGUUUGCCUCGCGAUCGCUACGUGAGGCGAGCCCUCGCCANNNNNNNNNNNNNNNNNNNNNNNNNNNNNNNNNNNNNNNNNNNNNNNNNNNNNNNNNNNNNNNNNNNNNNNNNNNNNNNNNNNNNNNNNNNNNNNNNNNNNNNNNNNNNNNNNNNNNNNNNNNNNNNNNNNNNNNNNNNNNNNNNNNNNNNNNNNNNNNNNNNNNNNNNNNNNNNNNNNNNNNNNNNNNNNNNNNNNNNNNNNNNNNNNNNNNNNNNNNNNNNNNNNNNNNNNNNNNNNNNNNNNNNNNNNNNNNNNNNNNNNNNNNNNNNNNNNNNNNNNNNNNNNNNNNNNNNNNNNNNNNNNNNNNNNNNNNNNNNNNNNNNNNNNNNNNNNNNNNNNNNNNNNNNNNNNNNNNNNNNNNNNNNNNNNNNNNNNNNNNNNNNNNNNNNNNNNNNNNNNNNNNNNNNNNNNNNNNNNNNNNNNNNNNNNNNNNNNNNNNNNNNNNNNNNNNNNNNNNNNNNNNNNNNNNNNNNNNNNNNNNNNNNNNNNNNNNNNNNNNNNNNNNNNNNNNNNNNNNNNNNNNNNNNNNNNNNNNNNNNNNNNNNNNNNNNNNNNNNNNNNNNNNNNNNNNNNNNNNNNNNNNNNNNNNNNNNNNNNNNNNNNNNNNNNNNNNNNNNNNNNNNNNNNNNNNNNNNNNNNNNNNNNNNNNNNNNNNNNNNNNNNNNNNNNNNNNNNNNNNNNNNNNNNNNNNNNNNNNNNNNNNNNNNNNNNNNNNNNNNNNNNNNNNNNNNNNNNNNNNNNNNNNNNNNNNNNNNNNNNNNNNNNNNNNNNNNNNNNNNNNNNNNNNNNNNNNNNNNNNNNNNNNNNNNNNNNNNNNNNNNNNNNNNNNNNNNNNNNNNNNNNNNNNNNNNNNNNNNNNNNNNNNNNNNNNNNNNNNNNNNNNNNNNNNNNNNNNNNNNNNNNNNNNNNNNNNNNNNNNNNNNNNNNNNNNNNNNNNNNNNNNNNNNNNNNNNNNNNNNNNNNNNNNNNNNNNNNNNNNNNNNNNNNNNNNNNNNNNNNNNNNNNNNNNNNNNNNNNNNNNNNNNNNNNNNNNNNNNNNNNNNNNNNNNNNNNNNNNNNNNNNNNNNNNNNNNNNNNNNNNNNNNNNNNNNNNNNNNNNNNNNNNNNNNNNNNNNNNNNNNNNNNNNNNNNNNNNNNNNNNNNNNNNNNNNNNNNNNNNNNNNNNNNNNNNNNNNNNNNNNNNNNNNNNNNNNNNNNNNNNNNNNNNNNNNNNNNNNNNNNNNNNNNNNNNNNNNNNNNNNNNNNNNNNNNNNNNNNNNNNNNNNNNNNNNNNNNNNNNNNNNNNNNNNNNNNNNNNNNNNNNNNNNNNNNNNNNNNNNNNNNNNNNNNNNNNNNNNNNNNNNNNNNNNNNNNNNNNNNNNNNNNNAUUGUUCCACGGAAUGGAAAUGGAAAAAAGACUAUUUCUCAAAAGAAAUUGUUCUUCGGACCAAACGCGCCCUAAGUAUCCAUAUAGAAAUAUUGCCACAGUGAUGAUCCAUGCAAAAGCCAAAUAUUAUUUUACAAAAACUUUUACUUUUUGGCGUUAUAGUUUUAUUUUUGUUUUCUAAUGAAAUUCUUUUAAUUUGUUCAAUGAUAUCCUUCUUCUUUUUUUCACAAAUUUUUCAGUCAAGUCUCUUUGACACCAAAUGCAGCCAAAUCUAGACCUUCGAGUGAUAUCGUAAUGAGUAUGACAUGAUUAAUUUUUUUCCAAUGUAGAUGUCCAAACGAGCGUCAACAUUGGGUAACGAGUCAUAGUUCAAUACUGUCUAUGUCAGUUAUUUUUUACACACACGCAUCCAUGUGUGCAUUCAUAUAUAUUUUUCACAUCAUACUUUGGGGUCAUUUGAUACCACGUUCACGAAUUUGGUCUGAUUUUGUGUCGGAUAGACUUGAGUUGAAAUUUUAUAAAACUAGAACAACUUGAUUAGACAAACUAAAUGUACAUAAAUUUGAUUAGAAAAUGGAUGGAGUAUGUAGAUGAUACAUAAAAUUUUUCGUCCACUUUAUAUUAUGUUUAGAACCAUUAAAAUGCAUUUUCUUGCCAUUUAUUUCUUUAUGAGGUUUUGAAAUACACAAGUGUUAUUACAUAUAUUUUAAUUACAUGUGGAUUCAUACUUUCAAUUCCCAAAGCCAUUAGCUCCAAUGAGAGAAAAUUAUCAACUACACGAGAUAUGUUAGAAAUUACACUAAAAAAUUGUUAACCAUGUGGUUAAAUAUUUCAAAAUAAUAGAGUUAUGUCUAUUUCAUAGGUAAAUACUUGCAAGUAGAGUGACAUUUCUUUCAUAACUGAGAAUGUUACCUACUCCAUUGACAUUUACUUAAACUAAAUCUUUUUUCUUUAGAUAUUUAGAUUGCAUAUGGAAAAAAAUUACUAGCUAGGCAAACAGGUUGCUGAACUACUAACGGGUUGAAAGGUACUUUUUGUUGAUGAAAGUGUCGACGAGGGCUGAUCACCGGGCCGUGUUGGGCCAAGCGUGUGCCUGGACCUUUGUUUUCUUUUUUUUGAACUCUAAAAACACAAUUUUUGGAAAAAAAAUAAAAGUGCAAGAGUUAUAUUUAAAAAUUGCGAUAUUGAAAAAAAAUUGCACGAAAUUGAAAUAUAAUAUUUGUUUAUGCAAUAUCAAGAACAAUACAAUAAACAUUUAAAGUAUGCGGCAAUAGUAUACCAUAAAAUUAUUUAAAUUUGAUAUUCGGAAAAAUACGAACGGAGUACUAAGCCCGUCCAACUUGAUCCUCGUAACCAAGACAUCGGACACAACAAAAGGGACAAGUGGAAUGUCCCGUAAUAUUCAUGGCCAACCCUGCUGGCUUGAAGAAGGAAUCACCGUGGGAAGCGGCCGAAGGGUCAAAAGCACGUUACUUAGAAAGUACUCCCGCAAGCAAUUUCUCCUUUUUGCAGCUUUGGGACACCACUUUGUAUGACUCAAUCAAGAGUAUGGAGAAUCGUUUCGCGAAGUAAGCAUCCAAACCAUUAGGAUCCGAUCCGUGGAUUGCCUGCCAGUAUCAUCAAAGCAAUAACAGAUAUGAGCCUUGUAUGCAUGCAGCUGUAGAUAUCAUCACUGUUCCACAAAGAGAGAGAGAGAGUGAGAGAGUACCUUAACUUUUUCUGGAGCAUGCCCUAGAUGGUUAAACUUAUUUCGCACGACUCUCAAUAAGUCUCUGACACAGCUACCAUCAUAGGGCGUACGUCUGUGUUGACGUAGGUCAUCCAUAACAUCUUUAUCUAUUUUCUCAUCUCAACUCCCAUCAAAAACUGAUUGCGCAAUGUUCUCCAAUGCAUUUAGAAGAUCUAAAUUGCUUUUCCUAGCUUCCGAUUCUACUUCAUCGCUGAUGUCAUGAAGAAAGGUCAAUCUCAUCUUUGAACUCCAAAAAAAUGGAUGGUGAAGCACCUCCAAUGUCUUUGGCCUGCUAGUCAUAAAAAGUAAUUUACCACUGACCAAACAUGCUCAAAGAAAUCAAUUAUACGAACGAUACUCAACUGGGCUGACUUCCUGAGUUCAAAAGCAUCACAAAUUUGGCAUUCUUGCAAUCUUUAAAACAAUUAAAACUGCAUUAACUCAAUGAAAGAGUAAGCAAAAUGUCUGAAAACUUCCAUGCACUUCACAACUCACGAGUCCGGGAUGAAGGGAAUUGUUUGACUACAACAAGAACUCAGGAAUUAUUUACUCCAUUUACCUUAAAUUAGAAAUCUAAUCAUCCAGUCCCGAGGAUUCUUAUUUCAUAUUGAGCGUCAUAUGCUAAACCCUCGGAAUCUUUACAUGAAAUCCUCUUCAGUGUAAGUAUAGCAAAUCUAAUACUGCGUUAGGAAUGAUUGGAAUUUAUUUUUUCGUGGGUGGGUAACAAACUUAUCUCCUUAAUAACUAGGCCUCCCACAAUGAUCAUCUCCAUUUGAAUAUCACAAUUGUCAAAGGCAUUUAGGCUAUCACAUGGUCAACCUUUUCUCUGGCUAUUGUUGUCGAUUGCCAAAAGAAAUGAGUGGGAUCUACACUUUGUUUGCUCAUUAAGUAGAGCCCCACCAGCAGGACAGAUAUUUAAGCCAUGUUGGACGAAUUUGAGGCCACCUUUAGUACUUGUGAGAUUAAGUGAUGUUGGAAUUCAGUCAACUAGCAAUGGCUAUAAAAAUCUAUCAAAUGGCAGAAUGAAAAUGGUGGUGAUGCAAAUUAAGGAUGACAAUACACUCACCUCAAUUUGGGAUCUUGGUUUAGUAAACACGAAAACAGAUCAUGAGCUUCUAGUAUGUCCACAAAGGAGAGGUCCAUUUUGUUGCAAGCAAUGUUGUGGUCACGUUCUAGAUUUUCACCAAAUGGAUGUCUUCCACGAGUGAAGCAAAAGCACAAGACACAACCUAAACUAAACACAUCCAUUGCCGGCGUUUGGUGCCCACCAUGAAGCAGCAAUUCAGGUGCUCGCCAUCCUAAGGUUCCACAACCUACAAGACAGACAUCUAAGAUCAAUAGAACAAUCCUCAUCACUUGGACCAUAUAUAGAUAAAUACGAUAGAUUCAUUAGUCAAUGAAGGGAGGCCAUGGCUAGGACUACUAAAUCUCCACAAACUUUACCACAACAUAAGAAGCAAUACAAUGCAACCUGACUUCCAACUCAACAGUCUUCUUUAAAAGAAGAGAUUUCUCUAGCAAGUAAGGGUGCGCACGACAAAAUUUUUGUUUCUCAAUUUUUUUUUAUUUUUUUAUUUUUUGUUCCCCGAAAUAGGUUUGGAACAUAAAUCCGCUUGGUAACGUAAUUUCAUUCUUCCAAUUCUGGAACAAAUUUUUAUCUCAAAAAUAGAUUUAGAGCAAAAAUCAAAAACUAAAAUUUUUAGCUUUUCUAUUUUUGGAACAAAAGUGAGAAAUGAAAACUCUUCUCAUCGUUCACUUUCGUCAUCGCUCGUCGCCUAUUCGUCAGUUGCCGGAAGCCUAUCAAUCACCGCACGUUGGACACUCGCCGCUAGUCGCUAAAUGCCGGCCGUCAGAUGUCGGAUGAUGGUCGCUCGUCGCUGGAUGCUCACUGCCUGCCACCGGAUGCCGGAUGCCUGCACCCCAAUUGCCGCACGCCGCACUUUUGCGUGUCGAACGCAAGUCGUUGGACACCGGACGCCAGACACCGCACCCCCAUGUGUUGGACACAAGUCGUUGGAUGUCGAACGUCGUCUGCCACCCCAGAAUUAGAAAUUUUAUUCUAUUAUAAAACGAAUUUCUAUUCUAGAAACAAAAAUUUUGUAUGACAUCCUGGAACAUCAUCCAACACGUAUUUCUUGUAUUAUUACUCUCUUUUAACUUGCGGAAACAUAAUCAAACAUUUACGAAUAUUCUUGUAACAAAAAAAAAAUUACAAAUGUAACCAAUAUACUUAAGCUUCUUUUAUUUAUACCACAUUUGAGUUCACAACUUCGUUACAUUAUAGGCAAAAGACAGAAGUCUAGGUUGGGUAGGGAAACCUAUCUCCAUAUCUCCAGACUGUACUGUACUUCCAAAAACCUGCCUAUAUACAUGGCUUGACGGAAAUCACGGGUCGAUAACUUCUCAAUCUGCUACGUCUUCAUCGUCCAAAUUGAAGUCACACAACGGACCGAUUAACUCACUGUAAAGAUUCCGGUACUAAGUAACGAACCGAAAAGGAACUCACUCCAUGAAACCUCCUACAUCAACCUAUAUUAUAGAACUACAUUUGGUAUAUAUUAUUUCAAACUUUAGUUCAAAUAUAUUUUCAUUAAAAAUUUCAUUAUACACAGGGACUCCAUAGCGCAAGGGUUGAGGAGUGCCCAUCCUAUACGUUUGAAAAAUAAAAAGGAUGAGCCAAAGCUCAGUAAAUGAAAUCUCUAAUUUUAUGGUAAAAAAAUCCUCUUGCAUAAACAUCCAGUAAGUGUGAUAAAACAUAAGUAGACUUUACUUUUCCCAUUUUCAUUUAUCACAGAAAUCGACAACCAACAAAACGUCCAUUUAGACUCAUGCAUAUACAUGCCAUGUUUCACAUAAAUAAACAAUUUAAGUAAUAUUUAGUUCUACACAUGGCAAUGAAUUUUAUUCAUUAAUGUUUCCUCCUCCCGAAAACUCCUGAGGCAUCUCGACUCACGGGACAUCCCAAUCACUGGGGAAUCUCAACUUUGAGGUAUUAUGCAAACUUCCACUACAAGGUAUCCUACUAUAGGGGCAUCUCGACUCCCGGGGCAUCUCGACUCCCGAGGCAUCUUGAAAUACUCCCCGGGGCAUCCCAACCACUAGAGUAUCUCGCAAACUUCCACGAUAGGGCAUCGUCACUUACCGCUAUAUGGGUGAUGAAAUUACAUUAAUGUCAUUCAAGCGAUGUAGAGGUAUAACACACAUNNNNNNNNNNNNNNNNNNNNNNNNNNNNNNNNNNNNNNNNNNNNNNNNNNNNNNNNNNNNNNNNNNNNNNNNNNNNNNNNNNNNNNNNNNNNNNNNNNNNNNNNNNNNNNNNNNNNNNNNNNNNNNNNNNNNNNNNNNNNNNNNNNNNNNNNNNNNNNNNNNNNNNNNNNNNNNNNNNNNNNNNNNNNNNNNNNNNNNNNNNNNNNNNNNNNNNNNNNNNNNNNNNNNNNNNNNNNNNNNNNNNNNNNNNNNNNNNNNNNNNNNNNNNNNNNNNNNNNNNNNNNNNNNNNNNNNNNNNNNNNNNNNNNNNNNNNNNNNNNNNNNNNNNNNNNCAACUGGAGAGAUCUCAUGGCUGGAAAGACAUAACGGAGUCCUUUGAUUGAUCGAAGAUUAACUCGAUAAUUGAAGAUCCGGUGAUUGCUUAAAUAUUAUUGGAAGGUUCUACUUAUGGAAACCGAGAUCCUGAUUGUAUGGGCAAACAGGAUUGAUGGGCUAUCGACACGUUCCUUUAAUAGCUCGAACAAUCUUCCUAAUUGAUUCCGUCCAACGGGUAGAUUGGAGGAAUUCCUUUGGUAAGUGCCAACAGGUAUGAUGGCAUAAAGGAGUAUAUAAGGAAGACGGUCUUAGUUGUUCAAGGUGUGCGCGAUAGAAGAAUUCCAAAGUCUGAAGCUCCUUUUUGUUUAGACAAUUCCUUUGAGCGAAUACUUGUAUACAAAAUAGAGUCUAUAUUUGUGAGAAAUCUUGAGGAGGUGUGGUAGAACAUCUACACUGUGGAAUCAAGGCAAAGCUGUGCUGUAACUUCUCUUUUGUUCAUAGUGGAAUCCAGCCAAUAGGCUGUCAGUGAAGAAGAGUGGACGUAGGCUUGAUAUAAGCCGAACCACUAUAAUCCGCGUGUUCAAUUUUCUCUUCUCUCAGUCUUACUUUGUUAUCGUUUGUCUCAAAUCCAUCAACUGUCUAGUAUUGUGCAAUUAUCGAAGAAAAAUCUUUUAUAUACAUAUAUUUACCCCCCUCUAGGUACUUAUACUAGCAAUAUCAAUUGGUAUCAGAGCCUGUGUACUUACUUUAUUUGAAGUGUUUUACUUCGUAGUAAAAGAUCCAUGGCUAGUAUGCUAGCACCAGGGCUGAUGGAAGGGCAAAGCAAUACCAGACCACCCUACUUUGAUGGAAAUGAUUACAACAUCUGGAAGAACAAUAUGAAAGCUUUCCUACGAUCAAAGGAUCCUCUGGAAUGGGACGUUGUAGAAAAAGGAAUUACUCCUACCACUGCAUCAGUCUCUGAAAGAGGGAAAGAAACUGUUGAGACCAGCGGAAUGACUCGGAAAGAGAUAAUCAAGAGACAAGCACUCGAUGCAAAAGCAAUUUACUCCUUAUUUUGUGCUUUGUCACCAACUGAAUAUAAUAGAAUAUCUUCUUGUGUUACAGCAAAAGAAGUUUGGGACAGAUUGCAUAUCACCUAUGAAGGAACAGAUCGAGUGAAGGAAACAAGAAUCAACAUUCUUCUCGGUCAAUACGAAGCCUUCAGAAUGAAACCAGGAGAAUCUAUAACUGACAUGUUUAGUCGCUUUACAGAUAUCGUGAAUGGUCUUGAAAAUCAAGGUCAACCAAUUUCUGAUCCCAUGAAAGUAAACAAGCUACUGCGUGGACUCUCCAAGGAUUGGAAUCACAUAAAGACUUCGAUAAGAGAUACGCAAAGAAUUAUGCCACUAUCUGUCGACGAGCUGAUUGGAACUCUUCAGUCUUAUGAAGUGGAACAGAUCAAUGAAGAUGAAGAUCCAAAAGGUAAGAAAUCCAUUGCAUUAAAAUCAAAUGAUGAUUCUGAUGAUACAGAUUCUGAAGAUGAUAUGGACGAUGAGGAGCUUGCUCUCAUGAUAAGAAGAUUCAGAAAACUGAAUAGAAAAGGAAGAAGGUUCAACUCAAAGAAACAAAGCUUUCAAAGACAACAGACCAAGUCUGUUGAUGAUGAGGAACCAAACAAAGAUGUAGUCUGCUUUGAAUGUAAGAAAAAGGGACACAUCAGACCCAACUAUCCUCUUCUGAAGAAGAAGAGAGGAAAAGCUGAAAAAUUUCGAAAAGCUCUCAAAGCCGAAACCUGGAGUGAUACAGAGUGUGAAGAAAGUGAUAAUGAAUAUGCCAAUCUAUGUCUGAUGGCACAAUCAAACUCAGACUCUGGAUCAGACUCAGACAGUGAAUUUGAGGUCACCGUCAAGAAAAAGGUAAAGUGGUAUCUUGACAGUGGAUGCUCAAGACACAUGACAGGAGACUCAAAUUGUUUUAUAAAGCUUGCUCAAGUAAAUGGUGGAAAAGUUUCAUUUGGAGGAAACAGCAAAGGAAGUAUUGUGGGAUUUGAAACUGUGAAAAUUGGAAAUCUCACAAUAAGUAAUGUUUCCUUAGUGGAAGGACUCAAUUACAAUCUUCUCAGCAUUAGUCAAUUGUGUGAUACUGGUUUCAAGAUCUUCUUUCAAGAAGGAUUAUGUUCUGGAAUCAGUAAAGACUCUACUCAGUCCUUCAUGGGUCAAAGACAUGGAAACAUCUAUCUUCUGGAUGUAAAACCAAAUGAAUCGCAAUGUUUUAUCUCAAUUCAAGACGAAGCAAGCUUAUGGCACAGAAAGCUUGGUCAUGUCAACAUGAAGCAAUUAGCCAAAAUCUCAUCAAAGCAGCUUGUUCGAGGACUACCCAAAUUACCUUAUCAAAAGACUGAUCCAUGCACUCCAUGUAUUCUGGGAAAGCAGGUAAGAAAUUUAUUUAAGCCAAUAAAUCAUGUCUCUACUAAUCAUGUACUACAGUUGCUGCAUAUGGAUCUCUUCGGACCAACCAGAACACAGAGUAUUGGAGGUAAGAAAUAUUGCAUAGUAAUUGUGGACGAUUACUCCCGUUUUACUUGGGUAUAUUUCCUUGCAAGUAAGUCCGAAACCUUCUCGUAUUUUGAAAAAUUUGCUAAAAAGGUUCAAAAUGAAAAAUGAUGUGUUAUCUCAAGUAUAAGAACAUAUCAUGGAGGUGAAUUUGAAAAUCAAGAUUUUACAAAAUUUUGUGAUGAAUCUGGCUUUAAGCAUGUGUUCUCCUCUCCAUAUACUCCUCAGCAAAAUGGAGUUGUGGAAAGAAAGAACAGAUCUCUUCAAAAAAUGGCUAGAACUCUUUUAAUUGAAAGUAAGAUUUCUUCACGUUUUUGGGCUGAAGCUGUUUCAAUAGCAUGCUAUAUCAUCAAUAGAGUCUUCUUAAGACCUAUUCUAGAUAAAACCCCUUAUGAGUUAUUCAAAGAUAAGAAGCCUAUUGUUUCAUACUUUCAUGUAUUCGGUUGCAAAUGUUUUACAUUGAAAAAUGCAAAAGAUCGAGUUGGUAAGUUUGAAGAAAGAUCAGAUGAAGGUAUCUUCCUUGGAUAUUCUACAUCAAGCAAAGCCUUCAGAGUCUAUAACAAGAAGAGCCAGUCUGUGGAGGAGUCAAUGAAUGUCAAAUUUCAAGACUCAACGCAAGAUGAAUCAAGUCAAACUCAUCAAGAAGAGUCUGAACCUGCUCCAGACCUUCCAAAGCUUACAACUCAAAAAGCAUCUCAGACUUUGGAAAACCAGCAUCAGGUUGUUCGUGAAGAUCCAAACAAAGAGAGAGAUCAUCAACCAGAUAAAUCAACAAGUAACUGGAAGCAUAAGUCCAGUCAUCCCAAAGAUCUUAUUAUCGGCAAAAUUCAUGAAGGAAUUCGCACCAGAUCAAAAAGGGGAGAAGAGUCUAGUGCUGUGGUUCUCGUUUCUGAAAUUGAACCAAAGAGCAUAGAAGAAGCUUUAUCUGAUGAAAGCUGGAUUGAAGCUAUGCAAGAAGAGCUCAGACAGUUCAACAUUAAUGAUGUCUGGGAAUUGACAUCCAAACCAAAAGGUAAAACUGUUAUUAGAGCUAAAUGGGUGUUCAGAAACAAGAUGAAUGAGAAAGGAAGAGUCGUACGAAACAAAGCAAGACUCGUGGCCAAGGGAUAUACGCAAGAAGAAGGAAUAGACUAUGAUGAGACUUACGCACCAGUAGCAAGGUUUCAAUCAAAUCCUAGAGAAUCCCAUCUCAGUGCUGCGAAACGUAUCAUUAAAUACGUUGCUUCAUCAUCAAGCAUCGGUCUUUGGUAUCCUAAGAAGGGAGACUUUAAUCUUCUGGGAUAUUCAGACACAGAUCUAGCCGGUUGCAGAGUUGAUAGAAAGAGCACUUCGGGAACUUGCCAGUUGCUUGGAAGCAGGACAGUGUCUUGGUUUUCAAGGAAACAAAGCACUGUAUCUCUUUCAACAACAGAAGCAGAGUAUGUAGCCCUUGGAAGCUGCUGUUCGCAAAUUCUAUGGAUAAAACAACAGCUAAGAGACUUUGAAAUUGAAGACUCAUGCACAGAGAUUAAUUGCGACAACACCAGCGCUAUCAACCUCACCAAAAAUCCAAUUCUCCUUUCAAGAGCAAAGCAUAUAGAGAUUCGACAUCACUUUAUUAGAGACCAUGUUCAAAAUGGAGAUGUUUCAAUUCAAUUUGUUGACUCAAAGAACCAACUAGCGGAUAUAUUCACAAAGCUUUUGGAGAAAAAUCAAUUUGAAUCUAUCUGUUCCAGACUCAACAUUUUGAGGUAUGAGGAUAUCAAAGCCUAAAGACUUUCAGACUCAGACUUACAAGACUUUAUCUGUAAGAUAGUCUUGGUACGACCAUCAGACUGUAAGUCUUUCUCUCUUUAAUCUCAUCUUGAAAAGGUACGAUCGUCAGACUGUGUUUAAAUUGUUGCUAUAUUUAAUCGACGUAAUUAUUGCAUCGUUUCAUUUUCAAAAAGGAAGUUAUUUUUUAAAUGGCUAUUUUUGCGGAAAAAGACAGUUAUUUUGAAAAGGCAUUUUUGAUUUCCUUUGUGACGGUUCGUUUAUCUCUCCUUUUAACCUUAUCGUGCACUGUCGAUUCCUCUUCACUUUACUCUCAAAAACCCUAGAAAGCAUCGAUCCUCCAUUCCCGUUUGUCUUCUUUGUUUAAUCUUCAAAAAGUUGUCAUCUUUCUUAGGAAAGUCAAGCAAGGAAUCUUCCAANNNNNNNNNNNNNNNNNNNNNNNNNNNNNNNNNNNNNNNNNNNNNNNNNNNNNNNNNNNNNNNNNNNNNNNNNNNNNNNNNNNNNNNNNNNNNNNNNNNNNNNNNNNNNNNNNNNNNNNNNNNNNNNNNNNNNNNNNNNNNNNNNNNNNNNNNNNNNNNNNNNNNNNNNNNNNNNNCGUUGAUCAUCAACAACAGGAAGAAAUCAUCGAGGAUGCAGACCUAUAAGAGUUCAAAAGCCCGCUUAUAUUUACCAGCUAUAUCGUGCCUUAAAAGGAAUUCGUACUCCUUUGAACUAUAUUGAUGAUUUUCUUAAAGACAAAGGACAUGGGAACGAAUAUAUCUUUCUGCGAAAAAUGGAAAGUUUGGGAAUUGCUCGUAAAGGGGUGGCUGAGGAAACCCUUGCGAAUAUCCCAAGUGAUCCUCGUGAUUGGGGGCCGAAUCCUGUAGAUGGGAAUGAUGAUGACAAAUUGUACAGUCAAUUUCAACCGAAAAUGGGUGUUGCGGUUGAAAAUCAAGGAAAAAGGGGAGAUUUGUUCAGAUCGAAGGAACAAAAGGAUCUGUACUCGAAAUUGCUGAAACGUGGGGUAAUAAACCCUAGGAGUGUGGAUUUUAAUUUUCUGGAUGCUGUGAAUGUGAACUUGAGGGAAAAGUUCAGUUAUCUUCAACUUGAAAAGUUCUGCUCUGACACUACAGAGGCCUAUGCUGAAUUAACUUCAUAUUUCUAUUCAAAUCUUAGCUUUUUGGAUGCGAAUAGAUUCUCUUUCAGCGUUAAAGACCAAGAAUAUGUUGUGGAUAUGAAUAUGCUGGUAGAUGUGUUAGAAGUUGAAAGAGGAAGAUAUCAACCAAUCAAAGUUUCAAUUGCUCGGGCCACACUGGAACUGGUGAAGGACAGGAGAACAGAUGAAAAGAUCACCUACUUAAGGAUGAGUGCAUUCAACAUCUUGCUUCACAAGAUUGUGAUUAAUUGCCUCCGACCGAAAUCAACUUCCAAGACUGAUGUUUCAAGUUCAGAGGCCAAGCUGAUGUAUGCCAUUCUCUUUGGGAAAAGGUUUUCUCUCCCUCACACUGUUAUGUUUCACAUGUAUAGAGCAAUGAUGAAGGACAGAGGUCAACUCCCUUACCCAAGCCUUGUUACAAAGUUAUUCAGACAUCUGAAUAUUCAGCCUCCGCAAAUCUUUUGUGUUCGACCAUGCGAUCAUAUGGUGGUAGGACUGAAAAUGGUGACCAAAAUGCGUCUGAAGGAACUGAGCAAGGAGUUGGAGAAAUUUAAGGAGAAGACUCCUGCCAAAACUCAUCAAAUCUCUUCUGUAGCUAAAAGAAAAGGGAAGGAGCCCAUGGUUGCUCCAUCCAAGAGAAGAAGAGCUCUCCUCAUUGAGGAUGAAGAUGAUGAGGAAGACAUCACCAUCUCUGCAAUGGCUUUGAAGAAUUUAAGUCGUCCUGUUCCACAGAAAGAAUCGGAACAAAUGACGAAAGAAGCAGAGGAGAAGGAAGAAGAAGAAAGAGAAGCUGAAAAAGAAGCAGAGGAGGAAAGACCCGAAGAAGAAAGAAGAGAAGAAGGAGAACCUGAGGAACACUCUUCUCCACCUGUAGGCAUGGAAACAGGGGGAGAUCAGGAGAAAAGAGUGAAGUCUUCAUAUCCUGAUGCAAGUGAAGGAGUCAGUCGCUCACCUGCAGACCCAGAGGAUGUUUAUGCCUCUCAGUUUCCAGAAGAAGGUCAUGAAGUUUCAUCGCCAAACCUGCGAGAUUAUGCUGAUCUACCAUCGUCUGCAUUUACUCCAUCAGAUCGAGCCGAAGCAAGUACUUAGACUGAUAAUGCAGCAAAUUUUCGCAGAAUCAUGGAUAUUCUCUUGGAGAUGCGAGGUCAAAUUUAUGCCUUGGGAUGCGAGGUUCAAAACUUGCAAAAUGCGGGUCAAGUUUCUUCAUGUUCAUUGAAUGAUAAGAUCCAAGCCCUCUCUGUUCAGAUUCAGGCCAAUGCCAAGGGUGAGGAGAUUGCACAACUGAAGGAAGACUUGAAAAGGCUGGAAGGCAUCAUUCAGUCUAUGGAAGAUUUCCAGCUUGUCCGCGUUCCCAAGCAAUCUUGACUUCAUCUCAUCCUUUUUAAUGCUGACAAAAAGGGGGAGAGAUGCAAGAUUUGAACAAAUUUUCAAUCAUUAAACUUUUAAUCGUGUGUUUGUUGGAUUGUUUUGUUGUUUGAACUCUGUUUGACUUUGUUUUGUGUCUGGAUGAGAAUUGAACUAGACUUGGACUUGACUGCUUCUAUUAACUAGUAUUGAUAUCUUAUGGAUGGCUUUAUCGUACACUAGACUAACCUAUUUUCUGUGGUUGCAGAUUCUAGUGUUAUUCAUUUAGCCAUUUAUCUCUAUAAGAUAUGCAUAUGUGUUUGAGAAAUGUUUUGCAGGUCAAAGUUAUCCAAAUCUACAUAAAAGUUUUGUCACCAUCAAAAAGGGGAAGAUUGUUGGAGAAAUCUUCUUGAAGUGUUUUGAAGUUAACAAAACGUUUCCAUCAGUCUAGUCUGAAGGCUUGCAGACUCUGCUAUUUAAAGUCUGAAGACCUCCGGACAGCCAGACUCAAGACUCAAAGUCUAUCCUCAUUGACAGUCUCUAAUCCGUUGAAGAAAGGUUAUCCAGAACUGGAUGUUUCGUUAAGGAUUUAAUCUUAUCAACUGGAGAAGAUCUCGUGGCUGGAAAAGACAUAACGGAGUCCUUUGAUUGAUCGAAGAUUGACUCGAUAAUUGAAGAUCCGGUGAUUGUUUAAAUAUUAUUGGAAGGUUCUACUUGUGGAAACCGAGAUCCUGAUUAUAUGGGCGAACAUGAUUGAUGGGCUAUCGACACGUUCCUUUAAUAGCUCGAACAAUCUUCCUAAUUGAUUCCGUCUAACGGGUAGAUUGGAGGAAUUCCUUUGGUAAGUGCCAACGGAUAUGAUGGCAUAAAGGAGUAUAUAAGGAAGACGGUCUUAGUUGUUCAAGGUAUGCGUGAUAGAAGAAUUCCAAAGUCUGAAGCUCCUUUUUGUUUAGACAAUUCCUUUGAGCGAAUACUUGUAUACAAAAGAGAGUCUAUAUUUGUGAGAAAUCUUGAGGAGGUGUGGUAGAACAUCUACACUGUGGAAUCAAGGCAAAGCUGUGCUGUAACUUCUCUUUUGUUCAUAGUGGAAUCCAGCCAAUAGGCUGUCAGUGAAGAAGAGUGGACGUAGGCUUGAUAUAAGCCGAACCACUAUAAUCCGCGUGUUCAAUUUUCUCUUCUCUCAGUCUUACUUUGUUAUCGUUUGUCUCAAAUCCAUCAACUGUCUAGUAUUGUGCAAUUAUCGAUGAAAAAUCUUUUAUAUACCUAUUCACUCCCCUCUAUGUACUUAUACUAGCAAUAUCAUAAUGGACAUUAAAAUUUGGUAAAUCAAAUGAGUAUAUUUCUUAAGUCUGAACAUUGAGCAAAUUCUGAACAUUAAAAUUUGGUAAAUCAAACGGGUAUAUUUAGAGUCCGAACAUUGAGCAGAUUUUGGACAUUAAAAUCUAGUAAAUCAAAUGGGUAAAUUCUAAGUUUGGACAAACAAAUACAUUCUAAUCGUAAAGUUUGAACUAUUGAAAUAGUAAAUUUUGACUUGAUAAAAGCUAAUAGAAUAAAAGAACAGAUCCAACGAUAAAUAGAUUUACAAAUGGACAGAUUGAGCAAUGGAUAGGAUCAACAAAUGAAUAGAUUUAACAAGAGUAGAUUCAUAUUAAGUAAAAUCUGUCUGAACCGAUAAAUAGACUUAUCACCGAACAGAUUUGCAAGUUGGCAGAUUCGGCAAAUGAACAGACUCUCCAAUGAACAGAUUCAAGCAAUUCACAAAUGGACAUAUUUAUCACAGGAAAUUCCAGUAGAAACAAGUGAAGCAAACAAAUUCUGACUAGUAGAAUUCUAACAAAACAAACAUGCAAUGGGUUAUUAAGAUAAAUAUAACUGAAUGACCAGAUUCUAAUUAUUUAGAUUGAGGCAAAAAUAGGCAAAACGAAUAUACAAUGGUUUAUCAAAAUAAAUAUAGCAGAAUGACUAGAUUCUAACUACUUAGAAUGAGACAAAACGAACAUGUAAUGAGUUAUCAAGCUAAAUAUUGUAGAAUGAUCAUGUUUUGACUACCAAGAACCACAUAGAACCACACAAGAUGAACCGGGAUAAAUCAAAGCGAAGCAGAAUAAACUUGCAAGAAAUUGUCAAGGUCACGUAAUAACCAUCAUACUCACAUCAGACUUCACAUCUCACUCAAUCAACCAGGUAGAGUACUAGGUAGAUUAGCUAACUUAACACUAGAAAUUUCACUUACCUCGACACAACCACAAAUCUCAACCACAAACUUGCAAGAAAUUACCUUUUCUACCUUAAUUACUCUUGAAUAUGAAGUCUGCUCUCCAAAUUCUUGGAUUGAAAAGCGGAAUUAACACAUACAGCUUCUGUUUGAGUUUCUGGAGGAACGAAAAUGAGUUUUUUUGGCAAGAUAGAAUGAGUUUUGUUAAAUUAAUUAAGAUAAUUUGAUUUCUUGCAAUGUUAGGUGUAAAUUUACAUGUUAAUCUUCAAUUUAAUGUGGCACAAAUGCAAGACAAGGCCCUUGCAUGUGGCAAGGGAAAUUAAAGAAGAAAAUGAGUCAUUUGAAAUAAUCAUCACUUAAUUUAGGUGUAAAAGAAAUUACAUGGUCAUGCAAAGCUUCGUACGAGGACAUAUGGCAAUUCUAAUUUUACUUAAUAAAUUUGUAAGGGAAAAUGUAAAAAGCAGAACGUAAUCUUCUUCUUCUAGUACCAUUAACACAAAUUAUUCACUAUUAUUAUCAAUUAAUUAAAAAUUACACAAUUAAUAACAACAAUGAACUAGUUAGACAAUAGUAAUUUAAUUAAUACCAUUUUGUUAUUAGCACCCGCAUAAUAUGAUUCACACGUCGAACCCGAAACGAUUUACGCUUACGAAAAUUACCCGCCGCAUCCCAUGAAAUUUAUGUUUCGAUUAAAUUUUCCGCAUGUUUGUCCGAAUACUAAGUCAAAUAAUACUUAACUUAAAAUUUAAGUAUUAUUAUCACAUACGGGAAUUUUUUAAUAUUACAUAAUUUCAAAUACAGAAAUUCCAGAUGUAACAUUUUGAAUAGUUGUCAAACGUGUUUCUUUGCUCAGAAACUUGUUAAAGGAACAGAAAUUCAGAAAUCAAUAUUUUGCUCUAAAUUUUUUUUCAUGCUGGCCUAAAUUGCCAGAGGUGUCAAAAUGGGUCUUAAAUUCAUAUAUGACACAUUUAAAUCAUAAAUUGGUCAUAUAUGGUUCACAUACAUGUUGAAGAGAUUAAUUUAAUGGGUGUUAAAUGGGUUGGACUUAAAAACCCAUUUCCAACCCAAACCUCACACUCUCUCUUCCCCCCAAUAAAUUUAUAACAAGUUUUUUGUUGAUAAAAAUUGAAAUUAGAAUUAUUUUUUAUAUUUCAUUUUUCUUUUUCUUUUUUCUUUCCUUUUUUCUUUUUCUUUCUUCUUCCUCCUUCCUUAGCGUGUGGCCGGCACGGCGACCGGCCAAGCAAGGCUCCAGCUUGUUGGCCCCUAAGGUCACCGACAACUGGCAAGGCUCGAGCUCGCUCGUUUCUUUCUUUCUUUCUUCUUCUUCCUUCCUUAGUUGAUGGUGGGUGACUGACCAAGCGAGGCUCGAGCUCGCCGGCUCCUAAGGUCUCUUACGACUGGCAAGGCUUGAGCUUGCUGGAUCCGGCGAGACUCGAGCCCCUCGGUGUUGAGUGAGCUCAAUCUCACUGAUCUAGCAAGGCCAAGGCCUCGCUAAUGAUGGGCAAGGCUUGAGCCUCGUCGAUCUGGCGAAACUUGAGCUUGUUGUUGACUAGCGAGGUGGAGGCCUCGUCGACGUCUGGCAAGACUCGAGCCUCGACGAUCUGGCGAGACCCAUGUUAGGUGAGUUUGACCUCGUCGACGAUUGGCGAGGCUAAAGCUUGCUGGCGUUAGGAGAGCUUAAGCUCGCCUAUAGCCGGUAGCUGGCCAUCAUAGUAGCCGGCGGCCAGUCAAAGAAGAAGAAAAAGAAAAAGGAAAAAACAAUUAAAAAUGAUAUUUUAAAAAUAAAAUAAAAAUAAUUAAAAAUUUGAUUUUUUAAAAAAUAAAAAAGAAUUAAAAAUUUGACUUUUUAAAAUAAUUUUUUAGAAAUAUUAUAAAAAUUGUCCAUUAAAUUUAUAUUGUAUUAAAGUGUUUUAGCAAUACCAUUUUUUUUUGUAAAUAUCAUAAGAAAUAAGUUUUCUUAGUUUUAGUUAAAGAUUUUUCGCAUUUUUUAUUUUAUUUACUAUUUUUAUUGUUUAAUUUAAUUUUUCAAUUUGAUGUGAAAUUUUUAUUCAAGUAACAUAUGUGAAGAACUUAAAGUGAAUUAAAUGGGUGGGAGUGGAUUAACCUAAAUUGAUUUAAAUAUCAAUGUGUUUCGAUAAUAUGGGUUGAGUCGAGUAAGGAUUGUAUAUUGGUCGGGUUAGGUAUGGGUCAUCAAAUUUACCUUGCAUGAAAAUGAAUCAAAAUGGGUUAAAUGAGUCAAUAUGGGUCGGACCAUUUUCAACCUGACUUGCCCAUUUGACAGCCUUUUACCAUUGUAUAGAAUCAAAUUAUGCAUGGAUCAAUCUUGAGGAAAAGAAGAUUAAAGAACUGGCUGUCAUGAGCACUUACCGGUGGCAUGAUAUCCCAGGGAAGAUUUGUCUUCAAGAAGGCAUUUGCUAAUGCCCAUAUCAGAUAGCUGAGCACAAAAUGGUCGAUUCUUAGUAAUCAAGACAUUUUGAGGCUUUAAGUCCCGAUGGAUUAUUCUCAAGUCAUGCAAAUGGCUGAGUCCUAAUACCACAUUUAUGUAUCAUAAUAUAGAGAAACCAUCAUGACUUAAAUCAACAAUGUAUUUGGAACCAAGUAGAAUCCGGGCCACUUGAAGGCAUCAUAUACAUAUAUUAAGCCAUAUCUUAUUCAAAAAUAAUGAAUUUCUUUAACACACUAAGACCCAAUAAGGAUGUCAGAAGUACACUGGAGAUAAAACUGUUACAGGUUCUUUACAUAAACUCUUCAAUGAAAAACUUGGUAUAGAAUAUGAUCGCCGUAUCAAUCACAUGAACAUUUACCGAUUUGAGUGCGUGAGGAUCCUACAGCAUUCGCAAAUCAAAAGGAAAGAAGGCAUACUGUUUUUACCAAGAUGGGAAAAUCAAUGGAAUUAUUACUAGGUAAUUGGUGAUACCUAAUUGAUUUCCAUGGAAAGAAAACUGAGAAUUUAGCCUUGAUGGUGAGAUUGAACUUAACGGACUCUAGAAAGGAAGCUGCAAGGUUCAAAACUUAGCCCACGAUGGUGAUUGCAUUGGGCUCACCACAGUCAAGGUAGUGACCUAAUAAUUGCCCCUAUCAUGCAUCACUUGGAAGUUUUUGCGGGAGCGCUAUUAAGUCCUUCAACUAGCACCUAAUACCCACAUAAGCUAGCAAAAAAGAGUACAUGAAGCUAGUGAUCUCUUGAGAUGCUUCUGAGUCAUGUAAAACAUAUGUAAGCAAGCUCACUACAAAUACAAAUAUGUGACAGUAUAUUUUAGGAGUGCCGCAAUAAGAUACUGCAGUUAUCUUUCUAUUCAUACCCUUUUGGCAAAUCAAAACAUAAAAAUUACCUCAUCAGCUUCUGUAACAAAGGUGAGGGAUGACCAUCUGCCCGCCACAAGUCAACAUCUUGCAUCAUAUCCCUAACAGAAUCCAAUUUGAUUUUAUGGUCAUCCGUUGAUGCUGGAUCACCACGGAACGCAGAGUUAUUUGAAGAAUCUGAAUGUGCUUGAAUUAAAUCAUAUAAGCUACAAGCACAGCGCUCCAGAGCAAGAUACACGAAAUCCGAGUUGGACUCCACUCCAUGAUACCGAACGAUAUUUUUAUGUCGGUCAGAUUGCAGAAAAAUCUGAAUCUCGUUGGAAGCAACAUCACAAUGGGCCCGAACAAGGCGUUUCACUGCAACAGGUCUAUCUUCAUAGAUGCCCUCAAGGACAAUGGUCCUAUUACUUCCUUUAGCUAUUUCUUUUCUUGAUACGUAGAUUUUGCCAAUUUUACGCCAUCCAAUGCCACCAUCAGGCAGGCUAUUGAGCUUCAUCAAUUCGUCACUGUUGCUCCUGAUAUUGUCAAUCCUACCUUCAAAUUCCACCUUUCUGUCAAAAAGAUAAUUGAUUUUCUUCCUGUGAUCUCUUGAGAAAGUACCUACAUAUAUGCCGAAAGACAAAACCGUGAGACUUGGCAUUGGUUGAUAUUAUCUAUGGCAUAAUAUUGAGCUGUGAUUAUUUUCUAAAUAUUAUUAUGCUCAAUCUAUUUGUUAUCUUCUGAUAUCCUUUGAUUUAAAUUUUUAAAUCUGCAUAUUCAGAGAUUGUUUUGUCAUCAUCAAAAAGGGGGAGAUUGUUAGGGAAAUCCCUUAUGAUGUUUUGAAGAUGACAAAAUAAAUCAAAGGCUACUAACAUAUUUGAUGGUUAAGUAAUAGGCCAUGCAGAUAAUAGAACAUGUAAAGGAUUUUAUCAAAGUCUGAAGACUGCUAGACUCAAGACUCAAAGUCUAAAGACUGCCAGACUCGAGACUCAAAGUCUGAAGACUGCCAGACUCAAGACUCAAAGUCUGAAGACUGCCGGACUUUAGUGUCAAAGUCUGUUCUACAUCAGAAGUCUGCUCACUCUGACAAAUUCCAGACUGAACGUGAAAGCUGAACCAGAAGACAGACUCUAUGCUGAAGCUGAACUGGGUAAAGACUCAUAUUGUAAAGUCUACAGACCCAGAUUGUAAAGUCUCAAGACUCAUAUCGUAAAGUCUCAAGACUCAGACUUUACAUCCAGAUUCGAUGAAUCGUAACUCAAGCCCAAUCAUACAACGGCUAGUGAUCUGGUUUGGAUUCCACAUCAAGAUUGAUUUGAUUGAUUCAAUCUAUUUGAUUGACAAUUGGAUGUUGAAGACAAGAUCUUUCUAUAUGAAGAAGCUUUACUUAUGGAAACCAAGAUUUCGUUUGUAUGGGCGAUCGGAAUCAAUUUGGGAUUUUACCUUUGUCACUCAACGGCUACCAAAUCUUCUAAGAUACAGAGCUGUCCAAUGGGUAUAUUGGAAGACGAUUCUCCGGGAUGCUGUCCAACGGUAGUUUGGAAGUGGAGGAGUAUUUAAGGAGAUCAUGGACCGAUGAGCAAGUAAGAGACGGAGCGUAGAAUUUAUAAUUCCAAAGUCUAAGCGACUUUAGAUCAUAUACUUGUCUCUUGAGAGCUUAAACGUUUGUAAUCAUGAGAGAAAUACCAAGAGAGUGACUUAGUGAGAUAGUGUGAUCUACUACUAAGUAUUUGCACUCGGAGUUGUAAUCUCUUGUUGAUUGCAUAGUGGAAUCCAGCCAAGAAGGCUGUUAUCGUGGGAGAGUGGACGUAGGCUUGGAUUAAGCCGAACCACUAUAAUUUCUGUGUUCUUAUUCUCUUCCCUAACUCCUUUAUUUUGUUCAUACUAGCACUCUCAAUUGUCAGGAUGAGAAACAACUUAGUAUGGGAUGGGUCAAAGCAACAAUACUUUGAGUGAAUUAAUUCAGGGUAUCACCCCUAAGAUAAACAUGGAUGAAAUUUGAAAUGACGUCCCCAACAUUGGUACAUGAGAUUGAAUUUAAACUGAUGCUUUUAUGUGUACUGAUGUAACUGUCCAUCUCCAAAGUCAGCCCACCAAUAAAGAAAGUUCACUAAUCAAGUGAACUUAUGUGCAAGCAGCAAUUUGUGUAAGUUUAUUGUUUGCCUCAAUCUUUGCAUGUGAUAGGUUGCAUUUUGAUUGAAUUGACAAGUUAUAGUACUUUAAUUUAAAGCUUUAUAUAACAGAAAUACAUUCACUUUAAUUUCCAUGAACGCAAGGGUAUACGCCUAUGUCCCAGUCUCCAAAAAUUUAGGUGUGAGUUCUAGCUUCUGUGUUUCACAUGACUCUUUUCAUUUGUGAUAUGAGGGAAUAGAGAGAGCUAUGGCUUUUCUAGAUUUGAAUGUCACACUUAAAAAGCAUUUGUUUGUUCCUACUUUUCAAAGAACUAUUAGUUAUUAUUCACCGAUUCCUAAACUGCUCUCUUCCUAUUAAUUCCUGCCUAUUUUGUGUUGUUAGUUACUAUAGGAAAUCUGAGCGUCCUACCUAUAUGCCUACUCUUAAAGUAAGAAUUACAAGACAAAUUAAGCGUGCUGCAUGAGCUUCAACAUAUGAGGAAUUUGGAGAGGCACAUUACCUUGUGGAACCUUGGUAUUGGGUUCUUCCACUUUUGCAUUCGCUAGGCGUAGCAUGUUAGUCAAAUCUUUAGAUACAAGGUCUGGUUGGCGGAUGAAGCAGAUGAAGCGGAUGAGACGACUAAAACUCCACGGCAAAGGGUAAGAAUCAACCGCAUGAGAUUGAGGGCGUUGUGGCCAGAAUGGAAAGUCCCCCUGAGGGUUCAUGUUUUGAGGAGGAAGAGACUGAUUGGGCAAAUUUGUCUUUGGCAAAGGAAGAAAGGCUGAUGAACUUGCAUUUACAGUGCUCAUGACACCAAGCUCGGGUCCGGCCGGGCAACGGGUAAAGUCACCGUCCAAUCAUCUUCAUUGUUCACAGUCUCAGGCAAUGGAAGAAAAGCCGAUGAACUUGGAGCUACAGUGCUUAUGACAUCAGAGGUUAGGUCCGGCAAGGCAGCGAAUGAAGUCACUAUACAAUCAUCUUCAUCGUUCGGAGUCGCACGCAGAUGCGGACCCCCUUCAAGGUAGCGUUGCCUGUUGCUUGAUUUCGCCGGUCUUUUACCCUUCCACGCAGUGAGGGCUUUUGAUCUCACUUGGCUAUCGACGUUUUCACAGCCCUGAAUCCCAUAUCCUGCAACUCCAGCAAGGUGGGCCCUGAUCCUCGUCGUGUCUCCGCUAUACUCAUACCCACAGAAAUUACAAACCCACUUCUCGUUGGAAAGGAUGCGUGCAUGCAUGCGAAAGGAGUCCUCCUCUCUGUACAUUUCCCCUGUAUCCCACAGAAGAGUAAACAGAUGUUUCGGAAGACCUUGGAUCCUAUCAGGAGUUUCAAUCAAUCCGUUCUUUUUUUUCAC
rnacentral:lncRNA from 1 species